rnacentral:lncRNA from 1 species
CACAAUAUUUCUAUCCCAGUAGUCAAAACAUCUACAUAAAUGUUUGAUCUUUGGUUUCAAAAUUGAGAAUUGCAGAUGGGAGGGGAGCUGUCAACCCAAAAGGCUUGGAGUACUACAACAACCUUAUAAAUGAGCUAGUGCAACAUGGUAUGGUUAUUUGUACUAAUCUGCAUAAAUUAUCAUGCACCGACACAAAAAACCAUCUUUCAACAACUAUAUCGUAUAUGCACAACAGUGACAAAUAUGUCAUAGUUGACAAUUUCUUUAUUGUUCUUCUUCAUUAUCUUGAGUUCUGAAUCUGUGUAGCCUUCACGAUUCUUUAGGGAUUCAAGUCCAUGUUAUGCUUUCCCAUCUCGAUUUCCCGCAAGUUUUGGACGAUGAGUAUGCCGGAUGGUUAAGCCCUAAAAUUGUGUAAGCUCCCGCAACUUUCCAUUUGUAAUGGUGAAAUUGCUCAAAAGCUAAAAAUAAGCAGCCUUUCUUUAAUAGAUAACGGAGGUGGCUUAUGCAAAAUGCCUUGACAAUGUUUAGUUGAUUUCUACUUUCCAUUUCCUCACCAGUGGCAUUAAAAAAUGCAGGGAAGAUUUCACAGCAUUUGCGGACGUGUGCUUUAGGGAGUUCGGAGACAGGGUUUCAUACUGGACAACGAUAGAUGAACCUAAUGUCAGCGCACUAGGGUCUUACGACAAUGCACUAUUUGCACCCGGACGUUGCUCCAACCCAUUUGGAAUAACAAAUUGUACAGUGGGAAACUCAACUGUGGAACCAUACAUAGCAGCUCAUAACAUGAUACUGGCUCAUGCAUCAGCUACCAGACUUUACCGAGAAAAAUAUCAAGUGAGUCAUCAUGUGUCCAAAACUAAAAGUGAAGCCUUUUUCCGGCAUGUUUACUCUGUUUUCUUUAAGGAAUAAACUAUUAACCUUUCUGUUUUAAUCUAAGAUUCAUUAAUCAUUACCUGGUUAAUAUUUGUGAAGAAAGUACUGGUUCACUAUACACUGUUUUCAGUGUCUCCAUGAUUACAAUUUGUGUGUACAAGAUUAUUAUAUUCUAGGCAGUUUCAACACAUUAAUUUCAUGGACAAUAAAAAGACUGCUUUUUUAAUUCUGCUUCUUGAUGUAUUUUCACAUGCUAACUUUUAUGUGUACAUAAAAAUACUCUUGCAAGUAGGCUGCCCAAAAGGGAGGUGUUGGCAUAAAUGUUUACUCUUCUUGGAGUUAUCCUAUGACAAACUCUGAUGUGGAUGUAGAAGCAGCUAAAAGAUACUUAGACUUCGUGUUCGGAUGGUAACAUUGUUUGGACUCUUAUGUUUAUUUCCAUGUUCUAGAGAGUUCACAAUCAGUAUGCAGCUAACCAGCUUGUGAUGCUUUUCUAGGAUACUAGAGCCCCUGGUGUCUGGAGAUUACCCAGAUGUGAUGAAGAAAAAUGUUGGGUCUCGACUUCCAUCCUUCACAAAAUCUCAAUCUCAAGUUGUCAAGGGAGCUGUUGAUUUCAUAGGAAUAAACCACUACUAUUCCAUGUAUGUUAAUGAUCGUCCUUUAGACAAAGGCACUCGCGACUAUUCAGCAGACAUGUCUCUUUACCAAAGAGGUAAACAAAAUAUAUGCAUUGUUCAUUAAUUGUAGGCAGAAGGAGUGGGCAGUGCAAUUCAUUUAUCUCGUAUAAAAUAAUGAUGAAUGUUUUUUUAAAGCACACUGUUAAUGUAUAUAUUGACCUAAUAAUUUGUUGCCACUUCUCAAAAUACACACGAUUUUGAGUAACCCAUUGGCCGAGUGCUAACAUAAUAUUUGUUCUUGUGAUGCAGCUUCUAAAACAAUCCCAGGAAGUAGCAAGGUAAUAUUUUCAACAAUGCUUGUUAGAGAAACCACUAGCCUGAACUAUUUUUAGACAUGAUCUCUUCAUACUACAAAUUAUAAUCUAACAAGAAAUACUAAAAUAUAUGACUACACUCAGAGCUCAAAUGAUUUAGCAAGAUAUUGUCCACCUUAUGAGUUGUGAUAAAUAUAUACAAUAAUUUCUUUUGCUUGCAGAAUGUUCCUUCAUCUUCUCAAAGUGACCCGGAAGGAUUGCAAUGUGUGCUGCAGUACCUAACGAAAGCCUAUGGGAAUGUUCCUAUCUAUGUGCAAGAGAAUGGCAAGUCGAUCUAGUCUGGUUGCAACGAUCUCCAAUUUUCCGUUCUACAGAGCUAGAUAAAAUUAUGUCACAAUGUUUUUGCAGACGUCACAGCUUCUAGUUCAUUCUAAUUUCACUAAUAUCCUCAGCCUUCCCCUUCAUCUCCCCAGGUGUUGCAUCUAAUGACACUCUCAAUGACACCGAAAGGAUCGAAUACUUGAAGAGUUACAUGGGUAGCACACUGAAGGCAGUAAGGUUAGCCAUUCAACAAAAGUCACCAAGAAUGUAGUUCAACUCAACAGCACUGCCUUCACACAAAAUGUCCAGGAUUCAUACAUGUUUAUCCUGACAUAGUUUCGCUCUUCAGGAAUGGAGCAAAUGUAAAAGGCUACUUUGUCUGGUCCUUCCUAGACGUCUUCGAGUUCUUUGCAGGGCCCCAGUCACGGUACGGCCUAUACCGUGUCGAUUUUAACGAUGAGGCGCGGCCACGACAAGCCAAGCUCUCUGCUCGAUGGUACUCUGGCUUCCUGAAGAACAAUGGCAGCUAUGUUCAGAACGAGCUCGACAGUACAGAAUCUCGUGCUCUGCAAUGAGCCGUAAAACAGAUAGUAGAAAUGUCGAGUUAUCCUAUGUAAAUAAAUGUUUCAUGUAAAUAUAGUGGUUUAUUACAUAUACAUCAUGUAGUACCUUAUGUACCUACAAGAGUGGUCGGCAGUGCCCCAUGCAUGGCCAUGUCUCAUGAUGGCGGUUUAGGUGUGUUGUAAUAGGUUUUGCUCGGUUUUCCGCAAAUUAACCAGACAAUUCUCUUCGGCUUUUAUCAAUAGAUUGAGCCCUUCAUGCUCCGUUUAAAAAAAAUCUAUAAUGACCUAUUUGAUUCAAAGGAUUUUCAUACAAGAUUUGGAAGAUUAUAACUCUUUGACCUUUUCCUCGUGUUGGUUACUUCGCUUCGGUAACNNNNNNNNNNNNNNNNNNNNNNNNNNNNNNNNNNNNNNNNNNNNNNNNNNNNNNNNNNNNNNNNNNNNNNNNNNNNNNNNNNNNNNNNNNNNNNNNNNNNNNNNNNNNNNNNNNNNNNNNNNNNNNNNNNNNNNNNNNNNNNNNNNNNNNNNNNNNNNNNNNNNNNNNNNNNNNNNNNNNNNNNNNNNNNNNNNNNNNNNNNNNNNNNNNNNNNNNNNNNNNNNNNNNNNNNNNNNNNNNNNNNNNNNNNNNNNNNNNNNNNNNNNNNNNNNNNNNNNNNNNNNNNNNNNNNNNNNNNNNNNNNNNNNNNNNNNNNNNNNNNNNNNNNNNNNNNNNNNNNNNNNNNNNNNNNNNNNNNNNNNNNNNNNNNNNNNNNNNNNNNNNNNNNNNNNNNNNUCGACUAGAAGGUGUACGCCGUAGGUUCGUACAAUUCCCGGCGCACACCCCUCCCUCAUGGGCUCAGCCCGUUUAGUUUUUUUUUAAGUUUUAAACGUCAAAAUAGCAUGUCCCAUCUAGGAUUCGAAUUGAGUCCUCAUGCACUAUAUGUAAGUGAACAACCAUCUGGGAUAGCUAAUCUGGUGUGCGAAUUAACCUUGCUUUCUUCCUGUUGUGCGAGAUAAAUAACGCUAGGGAAAAAAACACAGCACCUACACUCCUUAUUGUUUCUUUCAUUUUUCAUGCACGGUUUUCGCUUGGGUUUUUUCCCUUUUUUUCAUAAAAUAAAAAUUUUAGUAUUUAAAAAAUUGUACAGAAAUUUUAUAAAAAGCUCAUCUCUUUCAAACUUGCUCAGCAUGUGAAAACACGAACAUUUUUUAAAAAGAACAAACAAAAUUUUGAACACAAACGUUUUUUGAAAGAAAAUAAAAAUGAAUUCAACAAAAAAUCAGAAAAAUACGAACAUAAUUUGAAUUCUGCAAAUUUUUUACAUAUAAGAAAUAGAAAAAAUAAACAGAAAAAAGGAAAAGAAAAAGAAACAGAAAAAUAAAACAGGAGAGAAGAUAGACAGAAAAAAAAUAAAAAAAUGCGGUUCACGACCUUCGAGAAGGUUACCAAAACCGGAAAAAAUGGCUGGUAAGCCAAUGUUCCCAAAUCCGUGAAGCCUUUUUGCAACCUUUUUGAAUGAAUUUUUAAAAAAUUUGCGAAAAUUUUCAAAUCCAUGAUUAUAUUUUUAAAAAAUUAUGAACUUUUCUCAAAUCCGCGAGCUUUUUUGCCGGCCCAACACGCGCUGACAGAGCGAUGUCGUGGCCUAGUUGUGCCAAGGCCUAAGCGUUUUAUUUUAUUUUCUAUUUUUCAUUGUUUUCAUUUUUAUGUUUUUUGAAUACCAAAAUACAAGUUUUAACUGAAUUUUAAAAAUAAUUAUGUUAUAGAUUUUUUCUUUAAAUAUUUAAAAAGCAUUUACGGUUUUCAAUUUUAUCUAUGUGUACUUAUUCCUUAUGUUCAUAACUCAAAAUAAAAAAAAUUAAGUACAUGUUCAAAUUAUGAUUUUGAAUAUAUUUUUCUUUUGAACCUGAAAUGGAUGCCUACCAUGGGCAUGCCCACCGGCUUGCAAAAGUUUGAACCAUUUCAAGAAUGUUAAAAAAAACACCAUGUUCAAGUCCGGGUAGGGCAGAAGACUCCGUUUAAGAGCACGUUGUUUCUUGACAUCCGUCAAGUGACCUCAAUUUUUUUAUUUACUUUUAUGACCAUCUCAAGGCACCACUCCAACUUGUUUUGGUUUUCUACAAUAUUUGCAUCUUCUGGAGUUUUCUCGGUCAAAAAGGGCGAUAAAUGACCGGACGUGUCGCAACUUACAUACGGUGUCAAAAAAUCGCUCAAACCUGGCAUGGAUGCCUAAACAUGGGCAUGCCCACCUGUAUGCAGAAGUUGGGGUUAUUUCAAGGAUGUCAACAAAAACACCAUGUUCAACGGAGAGUAUGCGGGUAAGGUCAGAAGACUCCGUCUGAGAGUACACUUUUCAACAUCUUUGAAAUGGCCCCAAUUUUUCCCAUGGCCUUUUAUGACCAAUUCAAGGCAUCAUGCCAAGUUGAUUUGCUUUUCGACAAAAUUUACAUUUUCUAGAGUUUUCUAAGUAAAAAAAGACAGAUACAUGGCCAUACGGUGUCAGAAAUUGUUCAAACCUGGCAUGGUUGCCUACCAUGGUCAUGCCCAACCGGGUGCACCCUCCGUUGAAUAUGGUCUAGUUUUGGAUUUUUUUAAAUGACCCCAACUAUUGCAGGAAGGUGGGCAUGACCAUGGUAGGCAUCCAUGCCAGGUUUGAACAAAUUUCCAACACCGUAUGCAAGUUGUGUCACAAUCGGACAUUUAUCGGCCAGUUUUCACCAAGAAAACUCCAGAAAAUGUGAGAAUUAUCGAAAACUCAAACAACUUGGCACGGUGCCUUUAUUUGAUCACACAAACCGGUGGAAAAAAAGUUAGGUCAUUUUAAUGAUGUCGAGGAACAACAUGCUCUCAGGCAGAGCCUUCUGGCCAACUCGAACACCCUCCAUUAAACAUGGGCUAGUUGUGAACAUUCUUGAAAUUACCCUAACUUUUUCAAGUAGGUGGGCAUGACCAUGGUAGUUAUUCAUACCAGGUUUGAGCGGUUUCUCACACCGUAUGCAAGUUGCGACGCGUCCGCUCAUUUAUCAGCCUUUUUGACCGAUAAAACUCUGAAGAAUGCAAAAUUUAUCAAAAAUCAAAACAACUUCGCAUGUUGUCUUGAAUUGGUCAUACAAGGCCAUGAAAAAAAUUGGGUUAAUUUCAAAGAUGUCGGGAAAUAGAGUACUCUCACACGGAGCCUUCUCGCCUACAUGAACACCCCAACUUUUGGUCUAUGUUUGGACAUCCUUCAAAUCACCCCAAUUUUUGCAAGUAGGUGGACAUGUCCAUGGUAGGCAACCAUGUCAAGUUUGAAUGAUUUCCGACAAUGUAUGCAAGUUGUGACAUGUUCGGCCAUUUAUCGGUCUUUUUGACCGAGAAAACUCCAGAAAAUAGAAAAUGAUUCAAAAACCAAAACAACUUGGCAUUGUGCCGUGAAUUGGUCGUACAAGGCCAUGAGAAAAAAUUAGUAUCAUUUCAAGGAUGUCAAAAGUCAACGUGCUCUCAACGGAGCCUUCUAGGCUUCUGGCCUACCUGAACACCUUUCGUUGAACAUGAUUUAUUUUUAAACAUCCUUAAAAUGACAUCAAAAUUUGCAAACAGGUGGGCAUGCCCAUGGUAGGCAUCCAUGUCAGGUUUGAAAGGAAAAAUAUUUAAAAUUAUAAUUUAAAUAGGUACUUAAAAUUAUUAUUUUAUUUUAUUUUCCCUUUUUUAGCACGUGACAGUUAACCGGCCCAGUCAGGUGGACUCCUGUGAAUAAAGUAUUUAAUUUAUGAACUUUUUUUCAAAUUCGUGAACUUGUUUUCAAAUCGAUGAACUUUUUUCAAUUUUGUCAAAUUCAUGAACUUUUAUUCUAACCGAUGAACGUUUUCCAAUUCCGCGAACGUGUUCCUCCUUGGUGCUGGGGGUGUUUGUGUGUUCCAGGGCCGGUUCAUCAAAAUCGAGGUCUCGAUGUCAAAAUCUUAGUUGGCCCUAUCUUGCUAGAGAAAAACGUCCAACUGGACCAAGUUAUCGUCUAUGGCAGGCUGCAUGCAUAAAAAGUAUUCUGAGGUGUUUUUUUAGUUGCCUUAAUAUAGAUUUUAUUUUAGGCAUUUUGAUGAAACGCCUCGGUGUUUCUCACAUGACUCAAGUGAACGGAGGCAUUUAGGCAUUUUAGAAAAUAUCUUCAUAAAUGGCAGGAAUCCUACAUUUGAUAAUUUUAUAUAUACUUAUAGAAAGUUGAAGUCAUAAAGGUUAUUUCCCUUCCUCUAACCAUAAACUACUGUCUAGCUGGUCGCCCCAAGUUCUGUAUAAGCUUUAAUAUUCGAGAGGUCGCUAGAUCAGAUCCUCAGAAGUGUGAAUAAAACGCAUACCUUUUUUUUUAUGUCCAGAUUGAUAGGCUGAUGGACCGGUCUUGGGCAUCAGCCUAGUGUGUUCUUAUAGAUUUUGUGCUAUUUUUGACACAAACGGACGGUAUAGCGAAAGCUGUGUAGUUGGAGGAGACAGCUCCUAUGUGACGCUAAUUGCGUCGAAAUGUCGGCGUUUCGCACAGGCGUGCCUGCAGGUAUGGGAUUCGAACCGGCGACCUCGUGGACUAGCGCCCGCUAUGCUAGCCACUGCGGUAAACUAGUUUUAGUGCUAAAAUUGCAGCGGGAGAGUAAAAGAACCGAACAUGACAUCGAUUAGACUUAAUGUUUGUUAGAAAAUCCAAAAAUUGCAAACGCGAACAUUUUUCAAAAUUACGAACAAAUUUGUAACAGAAAAUUUCGAAAAACAAGAACAGAGAAUUGAAAUUUUGAACAAAUUUCGAAAAAACACGAAAUCUGAACCACCAAACUUUUUGAAAAAACGAACAAAAUCUAUAAUUGUAAAGUUUUUUCAGAACAGAAACAAAAUUUAAAAGUGAGAACAUUUUUUUGAAAAUGCGAACAAAAAUUUGAAACUCCAAGAAAUUUAUCUACAUGAUUUUCUUUGGAAAUUUUGAACAUUUUUAAACAAUGCGAACAAUUUUUGAAAAUGUGAAAAAAAUUAAAAAGUUCGAAGAUUUUUCAGAACAUGAACAAAACUCCAAGAACAUUUUCAAAAAAAUGUUCUUGGACAAACAUUUUAAAACGGUGAACAAUUUUAAAAAAUCCUGAACAAAUUUGGAAGCACAAACAAUUUUUUAAAGCACGAACAUUCUUUGAAUCUUGAGAACAUAUUUUGAAACGGAGAGAAAUUUUGAAAAAUUCCAAACAAUUGGAAGUCCGAACAAUUUUCUAAAGCACGAACAUUUUUUUGAAUCUUGAUAACAUAUUUUGAAACGGAGAGAAAUUUUGAAAAAUCCCGAACAAAUUUGGAAGCGCGAACAUUUUUUGAAUAUGUGAACAAAAAAUUGAAAUUCAAUACAUUUUCUGAAUUUCAGAAGUUUUCUACUUUGUUGUGUAACGAGAACAAAUUUUGAAUUUUGAGAACAUUUUUUGGUAACACGAACAAAAUUUAAAUUUUUGAUUUUUUUAAAUGAAGAGAAGAAAAGAAAAGGAAAUAAAAAAGAAAAUCAUAAACAUUUUGUAAAACGAUGAACAUAUUCUGAAAAAGAAAAAUAAACUUGAAAAAGAAAGUGAAACAAGAAACAAAAAAUGAAAAAAUGAAAAAGAAACAGAAACGAAAAAAAGAAAAAUAAAAAAACGAUAGAAAGCCGAAAACGAACCAGGAAAAACGAUACAUGAAAAAAACCCGGUUUAGGGAACCUUCUGGAAGGUUCCCAAAACCGGUUUGGACGCAGUAUGUGUGGGCCGGCCCAUUUCUGUCGCUCGUUGCGCUGCCCCUGUGCGAUCGCUCGACAGUUUGCCGCAGCGAGCGGCGAAUAGGAUUUUCCGUUGGAGGAAGAGGUGACGAGUUCGAUUCCUUGUGCGAACUAUCUACUUUUUCCAUUUUUACGUCUUCCUUUCAAUAGCAAGUGGCCUAGUGCCUGGUGGGCCGGCCCAGCUGUGCGUGGACGCUCGUCCGUAUGCGCAAUACGCAUGCCGCGUAUCUCUCAGUGCGGGAGAUAUGAGAUAGAGCCAAUUACACCUGUGGUGCUAGAACUUGGCGCAAACUGUCACUUUGAUGCUAGAACUUGUGACAUACAUUGAACUGGUGAAACAACUUGGCUUAGGCGUGCAAAUACGGUGCAAAUCACGUUUAAUACAGAAAGAUCGAUGACUUGGCGCGCCAGCAUGGCAUAGGCCCCGCUGUCGGUGAGUAGAAAGGAAUGAGUGUGGCCUAUUUUAUUGCAAAAACGACCUUGAUUUUUAUUUAUCAUAGAAAAAGCCCCUGUCUACGCCUCAGAAUGCAUUUUGUUUUUCCGCUUCAAUGACUCAUGGGUCCCAGGUUUCUGUACUGUAAAAUUAACCGGGAAAAAGAAGCCCCCCACGGGUCAAACUCAUGAACUACAUCAAGAAGGCUAGCCGACUUAAACCACUCCACCGAUAGUACUCUUUUGCACAAUAUCGAUAACAGUCCUUCAUGUAGUAUGAACCGGACGCACGUGAGGCUUAAAUGGGUUGCAAAUAGUGCUGCCCAUUUUGCUUGCACUAGGUCUUUUUAAGAUAUUUGUAAAACGUAUGUAAUAAAAUAAUGUUUGAAUAUUCACGAGUUAUAAAUAUUAUAAUUUUGUGUGUGGAUAUAAAUAGUAUACAUAACGAUGAUGAUUAGUAAAUAAAAUAUUUAAAUGUACCCCAUGUAUUAUAUAAAAAUGUUUAGUAAAUACAAACAUAUACAAUAUUUAUAUUAAAUAAAAAUGUGUAAUGAAUACAAAAAAUUAUACAGUUGCAGCUUAUAUUUAAAUUAUACCAAAUGAUGNNNNNNNNNNNNNNNNNNNNNNNNNNNNNNNNNNNNNNNNNNNNNNNNNNNNNNNNNNNNNNNNNNNNNNNNNNNNNNNNNNNNNNNNNNNNNNNNNNNNNNNNNNNNNNNNNNNNNNNNNNNNNNNNNNNNNNNNNNNNNNNNNNNNNNNNNNNNNNNNNNNNNNNNNNNNNNNNNNNNNNNNNNNNNNNNNNNNNNNNNNNNNNNNNNNNNNNNNNNNNNNNNNNNNNNNNNNNNNNNNNNNNNNNNNNNNNNNNNNNNNNNNNNNNNNNNNNNNNNNNNNNNNNNNNNNNNNNNNNNNNNNNNNNNNNNNNNNNNNNNNNNNNNNNNNNNNNNNNNNNNNNNNNNNNNNNNNNNNNNNNNNNNNNNNNNNNNNNNNNNNNNNNNNNNNNNNNNNNNNNNNNNNNNNNNNNNNNNNNNNNNNNNNNNNNNNNNNNNNNNNNNNNNNNNNNNNNNNNAAAAUGACUUAUAUUCAAAACGUUAUAUAUUUUAUAUAUUAGCCAUGAUUAAAUAUUAUACGAACAUUGUAUAAUUUAAAUUACGAAUAUUCUUUAUUAUACAAAUGUUGAACUAUACAAAUGUGUGUAUAAUUAUUGAUUUUUUAAUUUUACAAACAUUUUUAUUUGUUUGUAUAUAAUUGUAAUAUACAAAAUUUUAUUUUAAACUUUAUUCUUAAAUUUGUUGUAUUUAUAUUGUAUUGUUUUGAAUUAUAUAAACAUUUUCAUAAUUCUAAAUAUUAUUUCACAUAUAUAUUAAUAUUCUUGAAAAUAAUGCCUUCGUUCAACUACAUUAUGCGUAGUUAUCCUUCUAAGACAUGAAUGCGUCACGGGUGAAUUUGCUAGUAUAGACUAUUUGCUACUUACGGGUCGCUGGUUCGAGGCGGAGCUCUCUCCAUGUUUUAUGUUUUUCAGAAAAAUUGAGAUGCCACCUCGCAAAUAACGACAUGUUCUUUUUUGUGCUAAAAAGUCGAGGUUGUUUUCGGAAAAAGUGGCCACACGCCCUCUCACUGACAGCGGGCCCCACGCCAAGCUGGCAUGCCUAGUCAGCAGUCUGAGCGUACACAAUCAACAUUUGCACCGUAUUUGCACGCUUGAGCCAAGUUAUUGCACCAGUUCAAUGUAUGCCGCAAAUUCUAGCACAAAAGUGACCGUUUGCGCCAAGUUUCAACACCACCGGUGUAAUUGACUCUAUGAGAUAAUCACAGCCGUUGAUGUGUUUAAGGGGUGCCCCGAAGCGGAAGUGAAGAUUAAAUCAUGUAGUAUUUUUUUUCCUAAGGAUUUGUUCUCUCUACAUUUAAUCCAGCAUGUUCCUAUUUGUACUUUUUGGGAGCUUACAAAUGAAACAGAACCUACCAAAACUAUUGUUGGGAGUACCGUAACUCCAUCUCUUGUUUAUAAGAAAGCGAUGGAUGACGAAGAUCCUCGGAACACAUAUUUGAGCCUUAUGAGGUCUAGGAACCCACGGGCAGAGUUGAUUAUGAAGAGGACGUGCCAGUAAGAACAAUCUUCUUCUUGUUAAAGUCUACUAUGAGCAAAUAUACAUAAUCUUCGAUAUCUAGCAAAAAAAAAACAAUGUGACUGAAUUCCCUCUGAAAAUUGGCAAGGUAAUACAAAAAUAAACUAGAAAAUAAUUCCUCCAUUUUAUUAUUUGGGUCCCAUCUUCAAAAACUCUUGUACCAUUUUAGAUUUGCUUGGAAACAAAUCUGGAUUAAGAGUGGCCAGUAGAUUUGAACCUUUACAUGGUUAUGUGCAUCAUAUGAUGCAGAGGUCCGGGUUAACCCCUUUCCGGAAAAAGAUUUGAACCUACACCAUAAAAAUUCUUCACUUUCCUCCUUAAUUAAGCAAGGAAAACAUUCUAAAUUGCCCGAUCAGCCAUGUUCUCCGACGACCACCUCACGCAUGUGUCCUCCUCCCUCUCCUAGGGCACGACACAUAGCCACAUUAGUGCAGAACCGGGCUUUAGUGCCGGUUCGUGACGGCCUUUAGUGCCGUUUGGCGAACCGGCACUAAAGAGUGGGGACUAAAGCCCCCCCCCCCUAGUACCAGUUCGUCACGAACCGGCGCUAAAGUGCAAACACGUGGCACGAGCCAGGCCCGUGUGCGUGUAAGACAUUAGUACCGGUUGGUAACACCAACCGGUACUAAAUGUUUGGGUGUUUUUUUAUUUUUGCUUUAAUUUUGUGUUUUUAAUUUGGCUUUAUUUUCCAUUUAAUUUUUUUUUGUUUGCUGGUAUUUCACGAUACUACAAAUUGUACACGUUAUGCAUAUAUAUUAAAUAGAUUUUCUCGUACGUAGAACCNNNNNNNNNNNNNNNNNNNNNNNNNNNNNNNNNNNNNNNNNNNNNNNNNNNNNNNNNNNNNNNNNNNNNNNNNNNNNNNNNNNNNNNNNNNNNNNNNNNNNNNNNNNNNNNNNNNNNNNNNNNNNNNNNNNNNNNNNNNNNNNNNNNNNNNNNNNNNNNNNNNNNNNNNNNNNNNNNNNNNNNNNNNNNNNNNNNNNNNNNNNNNNNNNNNNNNNNNNNNNNNNNNNNNNNNNNNNNNNNNNNNNNNNNNNNNNNNNNNNNNNNNNNNNNNNNNNNNNNNNNNNNNNNNNNNNNNNNNNNNNNNNNNNNNNNNNNNNNNNNNNNNNNNNNNNNNNNNNNNNNNNNNNNNAUAUCAUCGAAUGUCUCACAGCCAACACCAUUAACUAUUCACACAUAUACACAUGUAUAUACAUAUACAAUUUCUACUACAUGUUGCCUUGGUGCCUUCGGAGCACGAUGACAAGUGGUUCAUGGGGGCGGUAGCGGGUAAUAGUAUUCUCCUUUCAGAUCUAUGACCUGGUCGAGCAAAAAUCCGGCUAUUUCCUCUUGAAGUGCUUGUAUGCGGUCCGAUGGUAGGAGCUUAUCCCGCACCGAUCUGAACUGUUAAGAAGGAAAUCAAUAUGCAUGUGUGUUAGUUGUGUGACUAAAUAUCGAUAAUGGUGUGAAUAGUGUUUUGACAAAAACGUACCCAGUCCUGUCUAUCAGAUCUGCUUCUUUCGCACGUCAUCAUGCGAAUGUUCUCGCAAACGUAGAAUGCACAUAGAUUAUUCCCCGACGCCUGCCUCAAGGCCUUUACGAGAAUGGAAUUGAAUCAUAUAAUGAUUAAUCAAGCAUGAUAAUUAAUUAAUGAUAUUGAAACAAGAAUUAAAGAGAUGGUAGCUAGCUAGUACUACUUAAUUACUUACCUUUGGUCGAUGCCAAAACAACUUUUUGGCCACGUGCCUGGAGUCACCUUAAUGAACUUUGCCCAUGCCCUGCCCGCCGGCAAAGAAAAUUAAUAAAGGGGUUAUUAAAUAGUUCAUAUCAGGAACUAAUAGUUAAUAAUGAUUGAAAUUACCUAUUGACUAUCCCAUUCACGGUGGUGUAGUCUUUAUCUUUUUUAGUUAGUGAGUCCAGUAAUUCAACUUUUCCUUCCUCAACUUUAAUGUCUAACAAGACCCAGUGCCAACUGCAUACGCACACGUUUGUAUGUCUUAAUUAAGCGGGCAUGUGCAUAAAAUUAAUCAACUACCGUAAACCGUAUACACUUAAUUAUUAACAUCUAGCUAGCUAGUAAGCAAAAACAAAAUUUGUAGUACAAGACAGUGUGACUCACGGGAAGUUGUAAGGAAGUAGUAUAUCUUCAUUGGUAUUGAGGCGCUUCAAGAACUCUAGCAUGCUUUCCUCUACUUCAGCUUGACAAUGUUCAAUCUGCCAUAUGUCCUCAUUAAUGGUAUUUGGGUCAAUGAACCUAACGCCAUAGCGUCCAGCUUUUUUCAUUUCAUACAUCUUCAUCCUGCAUAUAAUACCACAGAAAAAGAAUAUAGUUAGGAUAAUUACAUGUAAUGAUUGAUCAAAAUUAUCACUACAUAACUAGUUUGAGACUUAAAUUACAGAAAGAAAUCACUUACAGACAAUAGCAACUGACGAUAGACUUGUCGAGUGCGUCUUGAUUAAAUAACUGAAAUAGUUCUGGAUACUCAAUGGUCAGAGCUUUCUCAUGGUAAUAAUGCUCAUGCUUGACAUUCACCAUGAGGGACUCUCGAUUGGAAAUCUUGGUAAUGUUCAUGUACCAUUGAUGCAAUUGAUACAUUCUCGUUGGGAGGUCCUUGACCUUGUCUGGAUGGACCAAAGGUUUGCCCCGGACAUAUUGCCAUGCUAUUUCCGAUUCUUUAAGCGUAGGCAUGGGCUCGAUUUCGAGGAGUUGUCCAACAGAGAUAUUGAGCAUUUGAGCCUGCAUUAUAUGAUCCUCUGUUAUUACCACAUCGUCAUGCUGGGGAACGCUAACGGUUUGCCCACAAUAAUAUUUGGCGCGCGUACUACUCCUCUCAUGUGUUGUUGGCACAACAAGCGGGGGGAUCGCUUGCGCCGUUUGUUCUCCCAACUGGGGAACGGUUUUCCCGCAUUUUUUGCCAGCUGCUUGUUGGCUCGAGCUUGAGCUCGCUUCCUUCUGUAGUCGUGCUCGAUGUGCCUUCCUGAUUUGGCGCUCAUAGUCCGAGUCAACAGGCUUGGGAGCUGGUUCUCUAGCCAUACGAAUGAAGUGGUCAAUUACUUUCUCAGACACUUUCUCCUUUGGCGGCGGCGUCGGUUUCGGUCCAAAAUGGGCGUCCACUUGGGCUUGCACUAUGACUGUGCUCCUUAGUCAUGUCGUAAGGCCUCUGAGGAAGAGGAGCGAGGCUUGGACCAUAUUUAUAUCGCUUGCCUUCGCCUGUACUUCCUGAACUACCUCGACUCGUACCGCUACGCACCAAAGCUGCGGGAUGUCUCUUCUGCGAUUGCUGAGACGGCGGAGACGGCUGACGUGGAGUUGGACCAGGAGAAGUGGCCUGACGAUGUGCCGGACUUGAAGCAGGAGGUGUGGCCUGACACGAUGCCGGACUUGCAACCGGAGAAGUGGCAUGACGCUGUGCCGGGCUUGAAACCGGAGGAGUCAGCUCACGCGUUCGGGGACUUGGAGGAGGUGGCAGACUUCGAAGAGGAGUCAUCUCACGCGUUCGUGGACUUGGAGGAGCGGGAGUCUGCUGACUCGGUGGCGGACUUCGAGGAGUCGGCAGACGACGCGGUGUCGAUGGACUUCGAAAGAUGAUGCAAUCCUUUCUCCAUAGGAUGAUACGAUGUAUGGCCUCUCCCAGUGUGCGCUCGUCUUCACCUCCAGGAAUGUCAAGCGUUAGCCCCGAAUAUGGGUCCACCACUUCAUCAACAAUGACACGAGCAUAGCCCUCUGGAAUCGGGAUGCAAUGGUAGGUUGCUUCGGGGGUAACUGGAAAAGCAACGCCGUCCGCCACCUUCAUGGAUAUGUUCUUCAUUUUGGAGUGUAGCUCGCAGUUAGUGUUCUCUAUGAUGUCAUCCACAGGGUAUUUAUCCAGCAGUGUGUCGCCCGGGGCAGAACCAACGCCGCUUCUCGGCAUGGAUGGGACGAUGCUAUCCAAUGCUGGACGAUCAUCCGCUUGCUGUUGCCGCUGCUGAGACCCCCUUUCCUGGCUAAGUGAGUCGAUCUGCUGUUGCUGCUACUGGAAUUUGAGUGCCAGGUCCGCGUGCCUUGCUUCUAGGCCUUGAAGGCGUUCUGCGUCCUGCUUCCUCUGCUCCUCCUCCAGCUUCCUUUUCUUCUCCUCCUCCAUCUUCCUUCUUGCACGGCUCCUGUAGUCCUCGUUCCAUUCUGAAAAGCCCUCAUACCAGGGAAUAACGCCCAUGCCUCGUGUUCUUCCCGGGUGUUCAGGAUUUCCCGGGGCGCGCGUAAGCUCGUCGUUCUCUCUAUUGGGCGUGAACACCCCCCUUCGAGCUUCAUCUAUUGCGUCAAUUAUCUUUUGUUCGGCUCCUUUUAGACUUGCCUUCCGCGAAACUCCGCCUGUCUUCGGGUCCAACGCUCCCCCAUGCGCAUAGAACCAAGUUCUGCACCUGGGGGGCUAGUGCCGGGUAACCGGAGUGACCCCUGCAUCCUUCAUAUCUUGCUCAGACUUAUCCCACUUAGGCAAUGCCACCGCGUAGCCACCUGGACCCAGCCUAUGGAACUGCGUCUUUCUUGCGGCAUUUGCCUUGUUUUUCAUCGACCGUUCCUUAGAUAUUUCUGAAUCCUUGAAGGUCAUGAAAUUGUCCCAAUGUUCUCUUUGCUUCUCCAGUGUUCCCUUGAAAUCUGGAGUCUUCCUUUCAUUAGCGAUGUAGUUGGCCCAUACAGUUUUCUUGUGGGUGUUGAAUGCAAUUGCCAUCUUCUUAAGAGAAGCGGCCUUGACUUUGUCCACAUCUGCUUUAGUGAAAUGAUCUGGUAGGGUGAAAUGUUCCAUCGGAGAUUUCACCAGGUCUUCUUUGGCUCUUUUGUCGACCCAAGUAACACCUGGACGUUUAGUCUUUGGCUCUUUCCAUUCUUGAAUGGAGAUGGGGAGUUUGCCCUUCACAAGAACUCCACACUGACGAGUCCACUUGUUCGCAAUGUUCUUAGGCGUGAGGGGUUCGCCACUAGGUUUGAUGGAUUCGAUGUGGUACUUUACACCAUCCUUCAACAAUCUGCCCGGGCCUCGCUUUGUCUUGCUAUCUGUAGAAGCAGAUUUGCUCGAUCCGGAGGGCUGAAAGAAGAAAGAUCGAUUCGUUAAUAUAUCUUCAAUAAAAAAACAUGUGAUGAUCACCAUGAUGCAUGCUUAUAUAAAUAUACCUCGCCGGUAGUGUUUGUUAUUUGAAGAUCAGCAUUGUCUGUGUCAUCACAAACAUUGUCUGUGUCAUAAUCAUAAUCAUAGUUCAUGACUUCAUCAGCCCGGUCGUCGAGAUCGAAUAUCUUUUCAUCACCCUCUCCGGUAUUGUUAAGAUAUUGGGAGUCGUCAUCUGCUUCAUUCAGAUCAUCUAGCCUGUGAGGGCUGCGUAUGAUGUCGAACAAUUCCUCUUCUCUCUCUCUGCCGGUAUUGUCCGUCAUAGCUUUUACUUUACUAAUAAUACAGAAGAAAUAUAAAACUAUUUAGUAUUCAAAUUACAAUGCAUGGAUGCAAUUAAUCAAUAAGGAAAAUCUGAAUCUCGAAUACAUCCUCUCGAAUAUAUAAUCUCGAAUACAUCGUCGUCUUAAUAUAUAUAAUCUCGAAUACAUCGUCUCGAAUACUAUAUAUUGAAUACAUCAGUGGCUAGGUACCUAAUAAAGAUCGAGUACUACAGAAGAAUCUAGGGCGCCACUCGCGGUUCCUGGGGCGCGGGCGGUGCACACCCAAAGAGAAGGAACCAUCACAGGAUCAUAUCUCCGAUCAUCUGCCCAAAGAACCCGCCAAGUAGUGGAGAACCUGACGUCGUCCAUAGCAGCCAUGUAGCGAUGGACGUGCUCAUCUUCCUCCCUGACACGACGACGCACCACCUCCGGCGGGGCCGGCUGCCUCUGCACCGAAUGUGGCCCACGCGAACGCCACCAAAGAAGAUCAGGGUCAACGACGGGACCCGAGGUCGGGUUCCUCACCAAGCGGCGCGCCCCUCCAGGUAGCACCUCCCAGUGCUAGCCCGGCGGAGCCCAGUCCUGGACAUGGGUCCCCUGAAGCAUGACGUCGUCGCGAACGGGUCGACGGCGAGGAUGCGGGCCGGGCAUAUCGUCGAGAACAAAUACUAUAUGCCCGCAAAAAGUAACAUUUUUUAAAUGAUUGGAUUGUGAUAACUAAAAUUAUAUAUAUAUAUAUGCAAAUUCUAACAAUUUGACAUUAAUCUAAUUCAUCUAACUAAAACUAAUUCUAAAAUUUUCUGAUUAUAUAACUAACAUUUCCAUAACAAUUCUAAUAUUUAUAUAACUAAAAAAUAGAAAAAUUGCUAACAUUUCUAUAAAUAUUUCUAUAACUAAAAAACAGAAAACAUUUAUAACAUUUCUAUAACAUUUCUAAUAUUUAUAUAACUAAAAAAUAGAAUAAUUUCUAACAUUUCUAUAACUAAAAAACUGAAAAAUUUAUAACAAACAAACUAAUGUGUGUAGUGUGUGUGUGUGUGUAGUGUGUGUGUGUGUGUGUAGUACUGUGUGUGUGUGGACNNNNNNNNNNNNNNNNNNNNNNNNNNNNNNNNNNNNNNNNNNNNNNNNNNNNNNNNNNNNNNNNNNNNNNNNNNNNNNNNNNNNNNNNNNNNNNNNNNNNNNNNNNNNNNNNNNNNNNNNNNNNNNNNNNNNNNNNNNNNNNNNNNNNNNNNNNNNNNNNNNNNNNNNNNNNNNNNNNNNNNNNNNNNNNNNNNNNNNNNNNNNNNNNNNNNNNNNNNNNNNNNNNNNNNNNNNNNNNNNNNNNNNNNNNNNNNNNNNNNNNNGGUCGGCGACGAGGGGCGGGGGCGGCGACGAUCGGGGCAGGGCGGCGCGACGGAGGGAGGAAACAGAGGGAAGAACAGAGGGAAACUGAAUUUUUUCAAGUGUUGUAUAUAUAGGAUGGACCUUUAGUACCGGUUGGAGCCACCAAACCGGUACUAAAGGUCUGUUUUGGCCAGGCCAAGCGACGGGAAGCACACCCCCUUUAGUACCGGGUGGUGGCUCCAACCGGUACUAAAGAGGGGGUCUUUAGUACCGGUUGGAGCCACGACCCGGUACUAAAGAUGUGCGCUGGCUCAAGGCGGUGCGCAAGUUUAGUCCCACCUUGCUAGUCGAAGGGCUACCGCACUGGUUUAUAAGCCCCAGUGCGGUAGCUCUCUCGAGCUCCUCUCCUAAGCAGGCCUACUGGGCCUACCAAUUCAUUGCUACCAUGUGGGCCUACUGGGCCUUUGCGGGCCUGCAUCCUGGCCCAACAAAAGGUUGAGUUUCUAGUCGUAUGCAGGCCGCUUUGGCCCAGUAGGCGGGCUUUUCUUAUUUUCUUAAUUUUUUGCUUUUUUAUUUGUUUUAUUUAUUUGUGAGUUGUUUUUUUGCUGUAUUUAGAGUUUCUUUGUGAAUAUUUUUGCUUUAGGUACAAAAAUUUACAAAAUUUGAUCUGUUAGUUCCGGUAGUUUUCAAAUUUGAAUAGUUUAAAUUUUAAAUUAUUUGAAAUUUGUGUGAAUCACUAGUUUGUGAAUAACUUAACUUUGAAAAAAGAUUUUUCAGUGAUUCUUUUUUCUUAUGUUUAAUAUUAGUGUGUUUUAUCAUUAUAUUCAAUUUGGUAAUGCUUAGGUUAUUUAAAAAAUGAAAUGCCUUUGUAACAUUUUAGUUUUCGUCGGAAACCCUCAUACUUCGAAAAAGAUUGUUCAUUUUGUACACGAAGUGUAUCCAGUUUUUGCCGUAACCCUCUCUACUUUUUUGCACAUGCUAUUUGUAUGAAAUUAUGAUACCAUGCCAACUUUCAACCUUUUCUGAGUUCAUUUCAAAUACUUUUCAAUUUCAGGGUCAUUUAGCUGGAAAAAAAAUCAGUAAAUGCAUGAAAAAAAAUUUGUUUGCACAUAAAAUUUCUUCACGUUUCAAAUGCCAAAACACAUAAUUAACUACCCUAACUAUUAUAGACAUUCCCUCCUGGGUGUGAAACACAGAAGAAAGUGAUGAUAGUGAAGCCGAUCAUAUCCCAGAUCUUUGGGCGUGAAACUUUUUCUUCUCGUGUGUCCCUUUGCGCCGUAGGCAGGGAAAAUCUUCAUCAUUUAACUGGAUGCUCGGGUCAAUAUUCACUGUGAAUGGAGCAAUUUCAUCAAACUUUUCAUAAUCUUCUGACAUGUCUGUCUUGUCAUCCACUCCCACGAUGUUUCUUUUUCCUGAAAGAACUAUGUGACGCUUUGGCUCGUCGUAUGAUCCAUUCGCUUCCUUAUCUUUUCUUUUUCUCGGCCUGGUAGACAUGUCUUUCACAUAAAAAACCUGCGCCACAUUAUUGGCUAGGACGAAUGGUUCGUCUGCAUACAAAAGAUUGUUGAGAUCCACUGUUGUCAUUCCGUACUGCGGGUCUUUCGUUACCCUGCCUCGUGUCAUAUUGACCCAUUUGCACUGAAACAAAGGGACCUUCAAAUCACUUGAUCCAUAGUUAAGUUCCCAUAUGUCCUCUAUGUAACCAUAAUAUGUUUCCUUUCCCGUGUUGGUUGUUGCAUCAAAGCGGACACCACUGUUUUGGUUGGUGCUCUUCUUAUCUUGGGCGGUCGUGUAAAAUGUAUUCCCAUUUAUCUGGUACCCUUUGAAAGUCAUUAUAUUCGAAGAUGGUAACUGGGACAGCGAGUACAGGUCAUUUUGAAUAUCGCCAUCAUUCAGGGCACGUUUCUGCAACCAACCGGCGAAAGUCCUCGUUUGUUCGCGUGUAAUCCAGUCGUCAGACUUCUCCGGGUGUUUGGACUGUAGAAAAUUCUUGUGUUCCUCCAUAUACGGAGCCACCAAGGCGGAAUUCUGUAGAACUGUGUAGUGUGCUUCAGUGAGAGAAUGCCCGUCCAUACAUAUUAUUUGAUGCCCUCCCAGCGUGCCUUUUCCUUCCAGUCUGCCCUUAUGCCGCGAUUCAGGAACACCAAUUGGCUUAAGGUCAGGAAUAAAGUCAAUACAAAACUCAAUGACCUCCUCAUUUUCAUGACCCUUCGAGAUGCUUCCUUCUGGCCUAGCACGGUUCUGAACAUAUUUCUUCAAGACUCCCAUGAACCUUUCAAAGGGGAACAUAUUGUGUAGAAAUACAGGACCCAAAACGUUAAUCUCUUCGCAAAGGUGAACUAGGACGUGUGCAUGAUGUUGAAGAAGGAUGGUGGGAACACAAACUCGAAACUGACAAGACAUUGCACCAAAUCAUUCUGUAACCUUGGUAUGAUUUCUGGAUCGAUUACCUUCUGAGAGAUUGCAUUGAGGAAUGCACAUAGCUUCACAAUGGCCAAUCGAACGUUUUUCGGUAGAAGCCCCCUCAAUGCAACCGGAAGAAGUUGCGUCAUAAUCACGUGGCAGUCAUGAGACUUUAGGUUCUGGAACUUUUUCUCUGCCAUAUUUAUUAUUCCCUUUAUAUUCGACGAGAAGCCAGACGGUACCUUCAUGCUGAGACGACAUUCAAAGAAGAUUUCCUUCUCUUCUUUGGUAAGAGCGUAGCUGGCCUGACCCUAAUGUAUGUCGUCUUUUCCGUGCAUACGUUGCUGGUCCUCCCGUGUCUCUGGUGUAUCUUUUGUCUUCCCAUACACGCCCAAAAAGCCAAGCAGGGUCACGCAAAGAUUCUUCGUCACGUGCAUCACGUCGAUUGUGGAGCGGACCUCUAGGUCUUUCCAAUAUGGCAGGUCCCAAAAUAUAGAUUUCUUCUUCCACAUGGGUGCGCGUCCGUCAGCGUCUUUCGGAACAGGUUGUCCGCCAGGACCCUUUCCAAAGAUUACCUUCAAAUCCUUGACCAUAUCAUGUACAUCAGCACCAGUACGGUGGCGAGGCUUCGUCCGGUGAUCCGCCUCAUCUUUGAAAUGCUUGCCUUUCUUUCUUACGGGAUGCCUGCUCGGAAGAAAUCGAUGAUGUCCCAAGUACACAUUCUUCUUACAACUAUUCAAAUAUAUACUGUCGGUAUCAUCCAAACAGUGCAUGCAUCCGCGGUAUCCCUUGUUUGUCUCUCCUGAAAGGUUACUGAGAGCAGGCCAAUCAUUGAUGGUCACGAACAGCAACGCCUUUAGGUCAAAUUCUUCCCUCAUGUGCUCAUCCCACGCACGUACACCUGUUCCAUUCCACAGUUGUAAGAGUUCUUCAACUAAUGGCCUUAGGUACACAUCAAUGUCGUUGCCGGGUUGCUUAGGGCCUUGGAUGAGCACUGGCAUCAUAAUGAACUUCCGCUUCAUGCACAACCAAGGAGGAAGGUUAUACAAACAUAGAGUCACAUGCCACGUGCUAUGGUUGCUGCUCUGCUCCCCAAACGGAUUAAUGCCAUCUACGCUUAGACCAAACCAUACGUUCCUUGGGUCACGUGCAAACUCUUCCCAGUACUUUCUCUCGAUUUUUCUCCACUGCGAACCGUCAGCGGGUACUCUCAACUUUCCGUCUUUCUUACGGUCUUCUGCGUGCCACCGCAUCGCCUUCGCAUGCUCUUUGUUUUGGAACAAACGUUUCAACCGUGGUAUUAUAGGAGCAUAUCACAUCACCUUGGCAGGAAUCUUCUUCCUGGGGCGCUCACCCUCGACAUCACCAGGGUCAUCGCGACUGAUCUUAUAACGCAAUGCACUGCAUACCGGGCAAGCAUUCAAAUCCUCGUACUCACCGCGGUAGAGGAUGCAGUCAUUAGGGCAUGCAUGUAUCUUUUGCACCUCUAAUCCUAGAGGGCAGACAGCCUUCUUUGUUUCAUACGUACUCUCGGGCAAUUCGUUGUCCUUUAGAAGCAUAUUCUUUAUCAUUACCAGCAACUUUCCAAAUCCCUUGUCAGAUACACCAUACUCUGCCUUCCAUUGCAGCAAUUCAAGUGUGGUGCCCAACUUUUUUUUGUCAGCUUCGCAAUUCGGGUACAACAAUUUCUUGUGAUCCUCUAACAUGCGCUGCAACUUCGUCCUCUCCAGAUCACUUGCGCGGUUUUUCUUUGCAUCAGCAAUGGCCCGACCUAGAUCAUCAGCGGGCUCAUCUGAUGCCUCUUCUUCAGCUUCUUCCCGCAUUGCCGGUUCAGCAUCUUCCCCCAUUGUUGUAUCAUCGUAUUCAGGGAACCCAUGGCUAGGAUAGCCGUCGUCGUCCUCUUCUUCUUCAUUGUCUUCCAUCAUAACCCCUAUUUCUCCGUGCUUGGUCCAAAUAUUAUAGUGGGGCAUGAAACCGGACUCAAAUAGGUGAACGUGAAUGGUUCUUGACAUAGAGUAAUUGUGACCAUUCUUACAGCCAGCACAUGGACAAGGCAUAAAACCAUCCGCCCGCUUGUUUGCCUCAGCGACAAGUAGAAAAGUAUGCACGCCAUUAAUGAACUCGGGAGAGCAUCUGUCAUCAUACAUCCAUUGUCGGCUCAUCUUCAUUACACAACACCGAAUAGACCAAAUUAAUACAAGUUCAUACAUAAAGUUCAUACAUAAAGUUCAUAUACAACACUUAAUUAAAUGCAACAUACAAAUAACUCUCUAGCUAAAGAAUUUAAAUGCAACAACAAAUGCGAUGAAGAUCGCAAUUAAGGUAACAAUUGAUCCAACAACAUAAUAAUACCAAGCCACACUAUCAAUGACAUAUUUCCUAAUCUUUCUAAUCUUCAACCUCAUUUUCUCCAUCUUGAUCUUGUGAUCAUCGACGACAUCGGCAACAUGCAACUCCAAUUCCAUCUUCUCCCCAUCAAUUCUUUUCAAUUUUUCUUUCAAAUACUCGUUUUCUUUUUCAACUAAAUUUAACCUCUCGACAAUAGGGUCGGUUGGAAUUUCCGGUUGACAUACCUCCUAGAUAAAAAUAUCUAUGUCAACUUGAUGGGCAUAAUUUGUCAUAAACACGAAAUGCAACAACUAGUUUCAAAAGAGAAUAUACCACAUCCGAAUCAUAACAAGGACGAGGGCCGACGGGGACGGAUAUCAAAACCAUGGCACUAUGUAUAACAAACAACGUACGGGUAAGAUAAUUUUACGAGUAACUAUAUAUCCAAAUCACAUAAACAUCAAUUUGGUAAUGUAAAACAUUCAUGAACAAGAGCCUCACCAGAAGGUGGUGCCGGCGACGGGACGGUGCGGGCGAUCGACGGUGGUUACGAUGGAGAUUUAGAAGGCACUAAGUAAACCACACCUACAUAUGCAAACUAAGUGUUAUUUUUGUGCUCAAAUUGCAUAUAAAUCAAAUACUAGCAAAUAUAAUUAUUCCUCCCAAAUUAAUCACUAUACAAAGCAUUGCAAGAGCUAAUCUAGCAAUAAGAGUUUAAAGGACAAAGUUGCUAACCUUUGUGAUCAUUUGAAUGGAUGGGGGUCUUCAAAUCUUGACAAAUUUUGGACAAAAUUUGUGAGGAGCUCGAGGAGAGAGGGGGAAGAACAGAGGAAGUGAGGGGAAAGGGGAAGAACAGAGUGGCUCGGGGGGACGAAGGGUUUAUGUACGUCGACCUUUAGUACCGGUUCAUGCCACGAACCGGUACUAAAGGUGCUGGACGGGCCCCAGACUGACAACACCCUGCCACCACCCUCUUUAGUACCGGUUCGUGGCACGAACCGGUGCUAAAGAUUCGCCACGAACCGGUACUAAUGAGGACGGCCGGCUAGCCGUUGGAACCGGCACUAUUGAACACAUUAGUGCCGCUCAAAAUCAAACCGGCACUAAUAUGUCUCAUAUUAGGUCAUUUUUCUACUAGUGCCAGGGGCCCACAGGGGGAAAGAUGAACUACAAGGGAGGUGGGCCGGUGGUGGUGAGUGACCGGGGCCACUGAUGUCGAGUGCCAAAGUUGCGCGAGUGAGGGGAGCCGCGGUUGUGUGGGCUGCCUGAUUUAUUGUGAUGCCAUACGCCCGCGCGGAGGAGGGCGUAGGCGCCUCCGCAGGGUACUACUACCACCCAGAUCCCUAGCUGGGAUCGAUGCCACACGGUGUUGGGACCGACAACUAUAGAUGCUACAACCGAUGAGGAGGAUGUUGCAAAUGCUGGACGAGGUGUUGCGACGACAUGGUGGAGGUGUUGAAACCUCCAUACGAUGGUGUUCAGAUUGCUGGGGCGAUGCUACGACGACAUGGCAGAGGUGUUGCAGCCGCCUGGAACGCGGUGCUGCACCCGUUGUCGUGGAAGUUGCAUCCAUUGUAGACAGUGCUGCAACAUGGGUAUGCAAAUUUCAAUCAUUCACAGCAGGGACGUUGUUUUGUGAUGACUAUGGCGGGAGCUGCGACUGGCGCGUGAUGAAGUUGCAACCGCAAACCAACGGGGUUGAUGACCGCCAACGACGCUAGGACGGAUGCUACAACUGUAGCCCUACGGAGCUGCAUCCGUGGCCAGGAGGAGCUGUGAAAUCGGCGAUGUGCUAGGAUGGGUGGCACCGGAGGUGUGACGAGGGAGCCGUGCGCACCGCACCUCCGGCUUGCAUUUGCUGUAAGGUCUAGUGGCGGGCAAGUAGAGCGGCGACUCGACGAGCUCGGUGGCGGGUGUUUUUCGACCUCACCAGCAACGAUGGUGAUGCAAGCGCGGCGUCGCAGUAGCCCCAUGUCGGCCGCAUACGACGAGCUGUACCACAUGAGCGACCCAACAGGAUGGAGUCAUGGAGGAUGCGUGUGGGGAGUUUCUCUGAUUUUUUCCAAACGAAAUGGUGAGAAAAAGGAUGACGUGGAGCAUUUAGAUCUAAUGGAUGUGAAUGUGUCGAUCUGAUGGUGCACGUGUGACCAGCGCUUUCUUGGCGCGGUCGGCCCGCGCCUAGCAGUGUUCAGUAAGCAAUUACUUCCUCUAUUUCAUAUUCCUUAAAAAAACUUCCUCUAUUUCAUAAUAUAAGUUGUAUUAGUUUUUUUGAAAGUCAAACUCAUGCAUGUUUGACUAGGUUUUUUAGAAUAUAUAUAUAGACUAUAAGUACAUGCAUGUGUAUACAAGUAAAAUCUCGGUAUGUGCAUACACAAAUGUACUGCACUUCAAAUAUCCAUCCGUGAGAACAAAGUAAAAUAUACCUUAUCUAGUGUAGUGUACCAGAUGCCUUAUUGCAUGUUCAAAAAAAAAAACUCAUGCAAUGGUUGCAUGCAACGAGAAGUAAGCAAUCAUCUGGUCGUUCCUAACUUCUACUCCCUCCGUUCCGAAUUACUUGUCUUGAAUUUGUCUAGAUACGGAUGUAUGUAGACUCAUUUUAGUGCUAGAUACAUCCGUAUCUAGACAAAUCUAAGAUAAGUAAUUCGGAACGGAGGGAGUAGCAAUCAGGUAUGCAUGUGGUUUGCAUGGCUGGUUACGGUUAGUGCUAAUUGCAUGUACUUAUAGUAUAUGACAUCUUUCACAUUUUUUUUUUUGAAACAACGGCAUCUUUCACAUUGUUUUUGUGAGAGUAUAUACUUCUUAACUUGUUUGAACGAGUAUAUACCACACUAUACUGACAGGAUAUAUACAUUUUUUGUCGAGAGUAUAUACUACGUUUAUGGAGAGUAUAUACAGGGUGUAUAAGAUACUUGCUUGCGCGCGAGUAUAUACCACUUUUAAUUUUUUUUAGAAGGUUUACACUUCUUUUUUCGAUGGAGUAUAUACUUUUCAAUGGAGUAUAUCCCCACUUCUUUAUGAAGUACGUACUUGUUGAGAACCACUGGAGUAUAUACCACCUUUUUUAUGGAGUAUACACACCUUUUUGUGUUGGAGCUACUACAAACGAUGUAUAAUUUAUUCAAAGAGAAGAAUAAAAAGGGUAUGAUGCGUUAAGAAAAUAAGUAUAUAAUAAAAUAAAGCACAAUUCAUUUUAAACUAGAUUACAAGACAAAUAAGAAUAAUAAUUAAUUAAAAAGAGUACACCAUCAGAGUAUAAGUAGUUUCAGGUUUUUUGUGCGUGUUUAUUGCAUGAUGGGUAAAUAACUUCGCGUUAAUCUAGUAGUCAUCGUAUUUGUCGUCGGAGUAGAUUGCAUCAUGAAGAUAUUUGCAUGGAGCAGACGCGCCGCCGGCCGGGAACCCAUCUCGCGUGCAAUCGAUCCAAAUGAGCUGUAGAUCAAACAUGCAUGAUAUCAAAUUAAUAGUCACAGUAGUACUACGGAAGGAAUAAGGAGUGCAGGUAAUAUCAUGAAGCAUGCAUUAAUGCCGAUUGGAAGAAGUACAUGGGAGUCGCUUUGUCUUUGGCCAUGUGAUGGAUGUCAAUGGUACUGGUACAACAAGCUGUCCUGCAUCUUAUUGUCUCCGCCGCCGCCGCCGCCAUCGUCGCUGCAGUGGACGCCGCCACCGCUAUCGUCACCGUCGCGGCCGCCGCCACCGUCGUCUUCUAUUUUGUUUAUGCGGGGAUGCCGUGAUAGGUUUCCUAAUGCCCGUACAGCUCGGUUUCUAUUCCGGCUAGAUAUACCGAGUCACCCAAAUCCCUAUUAUCACGGGACAUGCUAACAAUUUUUGAACCGAAGUUUGCAUGGGAGAUUAUCCUGUUGUUUCUUUUAAUUAAAAACUAAAGGAAUUUAAAUGGUAUGACGGGGCAUUAAAGCAACCGACGACACAUGGCAUAGGAGUACAUACUCCUAGGAGUACUAACCCAUUUUCCUAUNNNNNNNNNNNNNNNNNNNNNNNNNNNNNNNNNNNNNNNNNNNNNNNNNNNNNNNNNNNNNNNNNNNNNNNNNNNNNNNNNNNNNNNNNNNNNNNNNNNNNNNNNNNNNNNNNNNNNNNNNNNNNNNNNNNNNNNNNNNNNNNNNNNNNNNNNNNNNNNNNNNNNNNNNNNNNNNNNNNNNNNNNNNNNNNNNNNNNNNNNNNNNNNNNNNNNNNNNNNNNNNNNNNNNNNNNNGGAAGAAGUAGUAGCCAAUGCCGAAACUACUUGCUUGCUUUUACUUUCCGACGCCAAUGCCAACAAGUGCUUUCCUGACUCGAGAACGAGUACAUACGCUUUCUCCGAUGCUUGCUCUUGUUACGAGCUUCUACCCGACCGAUUAGCCCAGAGCACUAAUACGCUUUCUUUCCUCGAACAAGUACCUUUCCUUCGAACGAGAAUGCCAAUUGCUUCCUUCCAACAAUCCAAUACGAAUACGAAUGUACGAAUGACAGGCCAUUCCCCGGAGUAGAGUAGAAAUGAAUUCAUUCACAUCUGCUAGAAACCAGAGCCUAAGCUAUGAACCGAUCUAAGAGCGGACAAGCAAGCCUAUUCCUAUUGUUUUGGGUGGCAGAUUUCAUAUGUUAUUUCUCAUUGCGAAUACAGAUUCUUCUUGUACCGUAGUAGCUCGACUGCUUUCCUGACUUGACUCGAUAACUGCUUUCGCUUCCCCAAUCCCAGAGCAUCCAAGAGAUUCGUUUCCACACGUCGGAUCCGCAGUUCGAUUCGUGCCGGUGCCGGCAAGAGAUCCUGUUCCUGUUGGGCAAGGGAUUUUCUAGCUAGAAAAGCGGCGGAUUCGAUUCUUUCUUUGAUAGCAGAACGGGAUAUUCCACUCUUUUAGAUGCGCACCGCACUUCAUCAGUAGAAAAGCCCGGCGCCUGAAACCCAAGCUCAAAACCACCCUUCCUUUAGUUGGACCGGCAUACAUAUCUUAUCUCGUAAGAAAUCGGGGAAUAUUGAUUUCGAGUAAGCAUCGUAUCCUGAUCCUGCUAUUGAUGUAGAUUUAGCCACACCUGAGCCCGCAACUGCUGUCUCUGUAAUCGAGGAAUAUCCCGUCCCGGAUUUGCCCUCAAGUAUUAUGGGAUAUCUAUUAUUAUUGGCAACUUGUUUAGUUCCCGCAGAAAGAGAUGCGCCAUAGUAUCCCUCGGGCAUGGGCCAACCACCAAGGCCAGGAAGUAGAACAACUUGAUACUUUCCACCAUCCACAACCCUUGAUUUCUCAUAUUUGUGCAACGGCUGUUCUGGCACUAUUCUCCGAUUUCCACCCAUUGUUCACAUUCUAUAUACCUUGCCCCCUCCUCCCAACUUCAUCACACCCGCCUUUUUCACAUUGUUUUGAAACAAAGGAAACAUGCAACUGCCCGUACUUUCCCACUUGUAUAGCCCACCACUUAAUUAAUGCGCGACCUGAUGCGGGUCAUAUUGGAUGAUCAGCGAACCUAAUUAGAUUCACCUGUAGCCAAUGACCAAUACAUAAUCUCGGAAUCCUCACCCAGCUCGGUUGAUUAGAUCUCCCUUUAAUUCAUAUAUGCUACUUCCGGUCCGGGCAUAAGUGGAAACCCAUUGAUCUGGGGAUCAGGACUCGAACUUAGAAGCUCUUCCUCUUUUAGCAACCGGAUUGCUCCUCGCAAUAAAUAUGGCUCAGGUGUUGGAUCAAUAGCUCCUGUUUAGGAAGGAUGUCAUGGGCCCCCAAGCAUCCCCUUAAAUAUGGUGAAUGAAGAGAAUUGGACCAGUCCUUGAAUAGGAAUGAUGGGUAUCCUUGUCAUAGGGCUAUGUUUCUGUCAGAGUCUAGUGGCACCCUUUAAAGUAGUCUGGCUGGAUUGCUGCUGAAUAGCUUGAUGGGUCAGGGCAGAUUGAUAGGGAAAGAACCCUCGCCAUCUGGAAUCACUAUCUUCCGUGGAUGUUCUCGUUCUCCUUCUCUCAUUUCUGUGAUCGUAUAAGCUAGAUAGGCUUCUGUAGUUUCCGGGUUGCUGGGUUCCAUUUUUCUUUGCUUGCUGCAUAUCUCACUCAAUCCCUUGCUUUCGAGAAUAGCAUUUCCCUAGCGCUAGUUGUGGGUCAGAGUUGACAGAUCAGAAGUAGAAUACUUGACUUCUCUAAGAUGCCAGGAGGGAACAGAACAGUCAUGCAGAAGAGAGAAGCAGGUGAGGAUGGGACCCGGAAAUGCAUUCGAAUUUCUCGAGUGAAGUAGUUGAAAAUGUACCACCCUUUACGGGAUCUUCUCUGGUGCGCCAACCCUAGAAUGUCAUAUUAUGAUGGCGCUGGAACUGGAUCACUCCACUCCAGAGGCAGGUAAGCUUGCUCCUUGCACUGGCACUGGCUUGCUUCACCCAGAUAGGGCUUCUGUUGGUCUCUCUUUUUAACUAUCACUUAAAUCCACCUCCUCUUUAGAAAAAUGAGAGCUGCUCUUUGGUAGUUUCGGUAGUCCCAAGUAAGCUAUCGACUCUGGUGUCCAAUCAGUUCUGAAGUCUGACUUGUCAUUGGAAAAGGUAGCAAAGAAUAUCGUAUUAAGAUGUCGGUAGUACAAAGCAAGCUACUUCGUCUGUUCACUCAAUUGGCUCCCUAAUCUUGCCUUUCAAAGAAAGGAUAAUGCGUAGGAGUGAAGCAGUUGACUACUGUGUCUUGAGGAGUUCUGUACCGUACCCUUUGUGUCCGAUCGAGUUCUGCGGUCUACGGCUGUAUCCGACCAAUUAUCCAAGGCGCGGUCCACCUCUUUCUAUGCUUCAAUUUAGUGACGCAAGUAAUGGUGGUGUUUGUUGUACUAUAGGUAUUGGGUUCGUUCUCUCGUUGUCAGUAUGUAUUGAACUACCGCAAUACAGGACUAGUGGGCCCCUCGUCUAUCUAUUAGCCGUCUAUCUAUUAGACCUAUCUAGAAGUAGAAGUUCGUUGCAUUCCCGGAGAUGUAGAAUCGAGUGUUUAGCUUACCGGGCAUUGUGCUAAGUUUGCAUCCGAAUCGAAAUCUGGCGCGACUACUCAAACACGAAAGCUAGGGAAGGGAAUAGAAGGGCGGGUAGAUCAAUGUGAUGAUAGCACCACGCCAGGCACCGAAGACGAAAGCGAAACAUCGUCGGUAACACUAUACGUUGUAGUCUCGCAUUAUCCAUUGGAUCCGCAGCUAACCAUAUAUAAUGCUCAAUGCUAUGCAAAAGCAAUAAAGGGGAGAUUGUCUUCUAACUAACUAUAUAAGUAAUUGAUAUAACUAGAUGAUUCUCGUUCAAAAGAUUCUUCCCAUUAUCAUUAUAUAGAGAGGCGGAGGCGCGUAGCAAUAAAAAAGCUUGCUUGUUGGGCUGAUGAGGCUCGAGAAAGACUGUGAAGUGAAGAUGCGCCAUUACCGAAACCAUUUCUUUGCUUUGGGCGAAGUUCCUUUAUAGGGAGCUCACUUCCUUGCUUGGUUGGUUGGUUGAACUUGCUUUUUAGGUGCGGUGCGUGCGGGUCUAGUUUCAUUUAUGAGUGCUGCGUAUAUUUCCGUUAGUAAUGGUUUUGAGCUUGGGAAGAAGGGAUAUGGGUAUGGCAUCAUCCCAGAUUUGAUCUAAGGCUAGUUCCGUGUGUGCAACUACUAUCUUAUCUCAAUAUCAGGCUAAGGCUUGGCUAAGUGCUCUAGAGGUUUUCCUUAUUGUCCUGGUUCUUACCUCAACAGGGCAGGGGAGAUAGUUGGAAGUUGAAUAGUCGUAUCGUAUCAGUUCAGAGAAUCCCUGUUGAAUGGCUUGGCUUUCAGUGCGAGUCUAGUUGACUGAUUCCUAGGCUAGCUUCUCCUUAUGUGCGGGUCUAGUCUACAGAACAGAUGAAGACCCAGAACCGAGGAGAACAGAACGAAUACCGAUCUCAGAGCGGACAAUCAAUCCCAGUUCCUAGUUUCCUUCAAGCAAUAGCCUGCCUGUUCCCGUUCUUCGUGUAGCAAACCUCCUAUAGUGGAUACGACUGAGAACGAGCUUGACUCCACUCACUGCAAAGGAACAACUGAUUCUCCAAUUCCGUGGUUUGUUUUCCUUUCAUUCUACUUACCUUCUUUUCGCUGGAGGCAUAUUUGAUACGUUAUUUAACAUUCUGAAGAAUAUAGCAAAAUUGUAUCAUUAGAUCUAUUAUGAAAAUGCAUUUUCAUAUUUAUUUGUUUUGUAUUGUGAAUGUCGAUGUUUUAUUCUAUAAUCUUGUUUAAACAUAUUGUGGAGUAUAUAUGUUUGACUUUCAUAAAAGUUGAUGCACCUUAUGUAUUCUAAAAAGAAGAGAGUACGAAGUAAUUACAUCAUCUCGCCAACUGUCACCCAUUGUCCAACCAGAAUGAGGAGAGCAGCGCUAUUCACAAGGAAAUUAAUCCCACGAAGCAUAGUGAGUUUACAAACGGAAAUCAACCAAUUCUAGAGCUAAGCCUAAAAUGAAAUGGAAAAAAGAAAGUAAUUUUCUUUAAAUUUAUUGAUUAGAAAGGGGUAUUACAAGAUCAUCAUCAAAGGAGGGAUGCAUAGUAUAAGACAUGUGCUAAAAAAAAGAAGGGAAAAACAAUCGUUUAGCAAACCAGGGAAAAGCCUAAACAACGACAAGCCAUCUAGCUAAACUAGGUCUAAAGCAUCACAUGACAUACAAGAUGCCAGUAAAGCCGACAGUGCAGGACACACAUAGCCUCGAGCGUCACUCGUUAACAGAGCGCACGCGAAAACUAUCGCAUCAAUACGGUCUGCCAUGAGCAUAUUCGUCAACCUCGUCGACACAAAAGAGGGACGGCAUACCCUUUCGGAGGAAGACACAUGUUGCUCUGAUUCCACGAGGAACGACCAAUAUGGUUGAUCUGAUGCUCCUCACAUGUGAAGAGUGCUCAUGCUGCACAACCUUGAUGUCUGACGCACAACCUUGAUGCCAUGAGUCCCUCUGACCAUCUAACUCCAAGACAAUGCCCUCAAGGGGGAGCGCAACACCAAGCAUAACCAUUAAUGGCGCCAUCAUACGAUCUAGGAGACAAGAUCUAGGGUUUCCCCGGAGCAUGAUGGAAGAAAGGCAAGGACUGCACAUCGAGCUUGUAACAAGAGGGCGAUGCAUAUAGGCGCCGCCGUCCAUGACUCCAGCCACAACCGAAGGACAAUUUUCACCGGUAUCCUUAAUCGCCCAAAUCCAAGUCCGGCCACACCAACAUCCGAACUUCCUGCCGCCAGCACCGCGCCAUCUUCAGGUUUGCAUGAGCCCAGGUAGCAGCGCCAACGGAUUCUUCACGCUGACCAGCCCGCACUAUUCGCAAAAAAAAAACGCCCCGCAUACCAAGCCACCAGCCCCCUUCCCCGGCCACAGGCCUGCAGGCUGCAGGAGCCUAGAACGAAGCCGGUCGCAAUAGAGCUCGCUGGCGUGAGGAGGAGCUGAUUGCGUUGUGCGUUUCCCUUGAAAGCAGAGUGUGUACUUUGCCCCCAGUAACGCGCAUAGCGUGUCACGGUCUCUUGCGCACUACUACCUCCGUCCUGGUUUAUUGAUUCUCAUUGUAUUCCAUGCUUUUUAAUAAAUAACAAAAUGUUUAUGUAUAUCACCAAAACUUAUCUAUCAAUGAAAACUAUGUAUAAUCCAACGAUAUAAUUUUUGUUACUAGAAAGCUAACUUUCAGUCGACUGGAAGUUAGCGACAGAUCCAAACGCCUCGCCUAUCGUCAGAUCUACAUCGUGCGGAUACCCUCGCCCUUGCUAGUUUUUCGCAUAUCCCGAUUUUUCGGCCGGUCUUUUCUCUGGACCCAGUAAAUUCCGAUGUCACGCCCGGUUUUCCUGGCGACUUUCCGCGUCACUGUCAUCCUGGUGAAAAAAGAAACGACGCAUGCGCUAGCUGGGAUUCGAGCACAGGACGAGGUUAAGGCGAGGCGCUAAACUACACCAGGUGUCCACCUUAGACAGGACUCAUUGUUGUGCUAACGGUAGAAAAUAGUUAUUUUUGACCUUACAUAAAGAUUGACACUAGACUCAAGCUAGACCGGAUCAAACUAGGCAAAGCACGUACCAGCUAGUGCAUGUGUUUUAUCAAGUGAAUAAAGACUUGGUAUUGGACUACCAUAUCUACUAUAGUUAGUGUUUGAAAAGUUAAUGGGUGAACGCCCUAAUUUUUGUAACAAAUAUGAGAAAAAAAAGUUGCUUAAAAUAUAUGCUCGGUAACUCUUGUGUAAAUGAUGUGAUAAUGUACGCAUCACAGUCCUGAUAACUUGUGCACCAAACACCGUUACAAUUAUUUUUGGGGGAAAAUUUGUUGAAAAGAUACCCCGGUAACUUCUGUAUAUAUAUCAUGGUAAUGUACGCACGUCAAAGCUGAUAACUCACGUACAAAUGACGCGGUAACUUUUGACCUGUGUGAAAAGUUGUUGCAAAACACCCUCCGGUAAUUUUUGUGUAAAUAUUAUGGUAAUAUGCUCACACCAUAGCUGACAACUCACGUACAAACAUCAUGCUAACUUUUUUGGCCCAUGAAAAUUGUUGUUAAAAAACACCCCCGAUAACUUGUGUGUAAAUACCUUGUUUCAGCGUGUACUUGAUUCUGAAAAACAGUGUUCAAUCAAUUCUGAAAACAUGCUUCAGCAUGUACUUGAUUUUGGAGGAUUUAAGUAGAUUAGGAAUGUCCAACGCCCGUCCUCUCCCGCAUCAAAUUUUUGAAGAGUGGCAAGAUGCACCAUCUCACAACAUAGUUACUAUGCGCUAUAGUUACCAACAUGGGUAUUUUGUUGUUAUUAGGCUAGAUAUACUAUAGUUAUCAACAUGGUUAUUUUGUAGUUAUUGGGCAAUAUCUACUAUAGCUAUCGGGCAAUAUCUACUAUAGUUAUCAACAUGGUUACUAUGCAGUUAUCGGGCAAGAUGUACUAUAGUUAUCAACAUCGUUAAUUUUUGUAGGUAUCAGGCUACAUGUGGUAUAAUACACCCCCGGUAGCUCAUGCGUAUAUAGCAUGAUAAUUUAACAAACAUGAUAACUCAUGCACAAACGUCGUGAUAACUUAGACCCGGGAGAAAAGGUUGAAGAUAUCCCCCGAUAGCUUCUGCAUAACUAGCAUGAUAAUUUACACACCACAAAUCUGAUAACUCCUGCACAAAUACCGUGAUAACUUUGACUCGGGAGAGGAGGUGUUUUAAAACAUCACCUAUAACUACCGUCAAAUAGCAUGAUAAUGUAUGCACCGUAUACGUGAUAACUUACGCAUAAAUACCACAGUAACAACCGUCCGGAGGGUGGUGGGACGGGAUGAAGUUGUUUGAAAACAUACCCCACCCCCUCCUGAUAACUUCCGAAGGUCUCGUCGCAUGUUCUGAUAACUUUAGCCCGGGGCCUGAUAACUAUUUGCACGAAAAAAGUCAUCAAAACAUAUCAAAAUGAGACCUAGUUUUCGAAGGUCUCGUCGCAAAAAAUAUUUAUGUGAAAUCGACUUUCGAUUGGACCGACGAUUUAAGCUAUAAAACAUUUUGGAGUUUCGAACAAGAAGAACUAGGAUGACAUGAAAAAAUUCUUCCAUUGCAUGCACACAUGUGCAUGUGAAGAGAAUGUUCGAGAAACUUUUUUCAUGCCCUGGUUAUUUUUGUGUAAACAACAUGAUAACUUAUGCACCACGGACAUGAUAACCUAUGUAGGUCGCAUGUGGUAACUUUUUACCAGAAACAAAAAGUCGUCGAAACAUAUCAACAUGGGAUCUAGUUUCGAAGAUCUCGUUGCGACGAAUCUUUUAUGUGAAAACAAUUUUUCAAUUGGAGCGACGAUUUGUGCUACAAAACAUUUUGAAUUUUUGAAUUCGAUAGAAUCUUUGCUGACACCAAUAUUUUUGUCCUAUAUGCAUGCAUGCAACAAUUAGGGAAAAGAAUCUUGAAUGUGUUCUGUGCUUGCUUUAAUUUUUUUAGAAAACCCACGCAUGGCUCGCUCCACUUCGUGUGAAAGGAGGAUUGAGGGAUUCGUUCGGAUCUGUUGCUAUAGUCCAGUCGACCGGAUUAUAGCACAGUCCUUUUUGUUAACAUGUAGUAUUAUCAUUUUGUUAGUUAAUCGGAAAUGUUGCCACGUGUGGGCGUUCAACACCCCGACCACACACAAACAUCUCCGUUGGCUUUGGUACGCAUGAAUCUUGUAGCAAACAGGCCGGUUUUCGGUGCCACAUAGGACGAGUCUCGUGUGCGGUGUGCGAGUCAGUUCGCCCGCACGAUGGUUGCCAUCCCGUGGUCAGCGGUUGCCACUCAGAGGCGUGCGGUGGAACUGCCAUGCGCCCGCACGCCACGCUCCGACCGCGGUUGACGUCAAACACGUCGCACACCCCUCCACCCUCUUCCUCACGGUUCCAUUUUACUCACCCGCGACGCAUUUACUGGCACAACCCACUCGCACUUGAAACCACUGGAGGAGAAGGCGAGAGGAGAAGGCGACGACGGAGACGGAACAAUCGACGGUGUUCGCGGCCGUCGGUGGUGCUCGCCGGAGCGGAGCGGCUUCGCCGGAACCCGUGCGGGUUGAAGCUAAUGCUCGCUUCAUCUCUCGCAACCACUUCCUGUAUUUUUCCCCUUUCCCUCCCUGUUCGAUUCCUAGAUCGAUUCAUAGAGAUUCUGGCGAUUCGGUGGUGUGUCAGCGUUCCCGCCGGCGUCGAAGUUGUCUGCUAGCCGUUUUUUGUGGCACUGGGCAGUUUCGUCGCUGUCGCGGCUGCGGCAUCAUCGGUGCGGUUAUGCCUGUUCCGAGGCACGCACUAGUCUUGCGCAUGGAUUUGGGAGGUGCCCUCCGGUUUGUUUUGAUGCGCAUUGGUUCAAAUUUGUGUUUGCAGUCAGUUCGUGCGAGAAUUUUGAGGGUGAUUUUGAAGUUGAAGUAGUUGCCAUUGAAACCUAGAUCUAGUUAGUUUGGUUUUGAAACUGUAGAACAAGGCGAACUUGGCAGAAUGGCUGAACUUGGCAGAACGAGGCGAAUUUUGUGUGGCAACUAAACUCCCUGAACAAAUAUGAUAGUUGCCACAAACGUGUUUUCCUUUGCGGCAACAAAUUACCGAAAAUGUAUGUCAUAGUUGCCACAUUCAAGCUUUCACAUAGGGCAACUAAUUUUAUUGAAUGACUAUGAUAGUUGCCACACACAUGCUCUUCCAUGUGUCGAACUGAAUUUUGGUGAAAUUAUAUGAUAGUAACCACAAACAUGAUUUUUCAUUGUGAGAUCUAAUUUUUUCUGAAUUAUUCGUCAUAGUUUUCACACUUUGAUAGUUGCCACAAUCGGUAGUUAAUGCAGUUUCGGCAUCCAGCUGCACUGGACGGCAACUAAUGUGCACAUCGAGUGUGCGUGUUUGCCACUUGGAUUGUAUAAUCAUGUGGCAAAUAGAAUGUGAACACAAUGUCUAUUGCCACAAUGCAGAUAUGACAGUGUGCCAAAUUGGCUGCAUAAUAUGGCAACCACAUUUGCGUAACAAUUAUGCCAGAUGCCAUAUCAUGUCUGUUGCCAGAUCAUGUCUGUUGUCAUGUUACAGUCAGUACAAAUAUGGCAUUUUCAAUGUACUACGGACGCAAUUUUUUCGUUUUGCCACACUAGCUUUUGUGAUAUCUGAACACACUGUGCUUGUUUUUUCAGGUUAUCGAUUCAGAUGUGGUUUCAUUGCUUUUUUUUGUACUAUAUUGGGCUAACAUGGCAACUUCAAUAUUUUUGUUUUCAAGUGCAUUAACCAACGUGGUUACUUGCCACGUUUAUGUUCUCGACAAUCAUAUGGGGGGGAGGGGGGCCGCGUGCGUGUUCAUGCUAUAUUUUUGCAUUCACUAGUUGACAUUUUCUGUUAGGUGGCAAAUGCUUACCUCUUGCAUUUACAUUUUCCCCUUAACAAUUUGGUCUGUUCCUACAUCAGCAGAAUGGCUCGUGGCGAUCAUCAAAAUGAUGAUGAUGAUUUCAUGGAUCCACCACAGCGUAACCGGGCAACUGGACGGAGAAAAGAGGGCGACGAGGUAACUGUCCACACACCCGCCCCAUCUCCUCCCGAUUUUUGUUAUUGGUUGGCACCUAUAUCUUUUGUAGUCGUCUGUCAUGAACUAAAUUCUCAUGACAUUGCAAAACAUGGCAACAGCUGAUCACUUUUGUGUCUGUUUUUUGCAGAAGAAGAAAUGUAUUCGCAACAGAGCCUCCCAAGAACGACUGACUGUGUUGACUGACAAAUUCAGCGAUGAUCGGAAGGGGGCUGCUGCUGAGAUGGGCAUGCAGUCUAUGAUGGUUGUCUGGUGCACGAACCUUGUCAACCCUGUAUGCGACUGGCUUGCUGAGAUAUACGAGCCCACCUCCAGGGAGUUCGUGAUUCCGGGACGUGGAAGACUCCCGUUGAACGAGGAUUCUGUGUUCUUCACUCUGGGCAUGCCUCGUGGACAUAUCAAAGUCUCGUACGAGGUCAACAAUUAGAUCGAGCAAGAUCUGUUCCCCCGUUUGUUUCCUGGGUCGGAAUCCAUGCCGAACACGUCUGCAGUGGCAGAUUCGCUGCAGGCCAUGACGACGCAUGGAGAUGUUUUCAAGAUGAAGCUACUCAUGUACCUCAUCUCAGCUGUUUUCGCGCCGACCACUUCCCUUCGCCCAAGCAAAAAAUGUUUCCCCAUCCUGGUGAAUGAUCCAUCCUUUCUACUUUAUUUUCCUUCAAUCUUAUGGCUCCGAUGUCAUGUGUUAAGCUAAUGACUGCCAGUGUUUUCGUUGUUAUUUUCCAUUUGAUUUCUGAUGCGGUAAACUUUUUGCCCUGAAAUUUUGUGUGGUGCAGGCGAAUCUGAAAAAUGUGAAGAACAUGAACUGGUGUAAGUUUGUUGCCGACUUUCUCCAUGAUGCUUUCAAAAACAAGAUGUACCAGAAGGGUUGUCGACUGCAUUUAAUGGUAUUUAUUUUACCAGAUCUCUGUGUGAACUCUUGUUUUUAUAACACAGUUUUAUUCAUGCAUGGCAAACCGAUCAUAACAAGAUGGCAACUACCAUAAUGACAAUGUGGCAACUGCCAUAAUGACAAUAUGGCAACUGUCAUACUGACAAUAUGGUAACUGCCAUCAUAUUAGCAUGGCAACUGUUAUCACAGUAUGAUGGCAACUGCGAGCACACUAUGAUGGCAACUAGCACAUACAUACUAUCAUUGGAUCAUACAUUAUCCUGCUCUUUUUCCCAACUAUAAAGUACCCAUGAUGGAAACUGACAUUUCUUUCUUUGUAAAUUUGUUUUAAAUCAGCUGAUGUAUGUCGACUGACUUGAUCUGUCCACCGUGGAUUUCUCUGGGGUAGGAGGCCCGCCGCCUACGCACAAGUUUGUUGUUUCUGCGUGGACCAUCAACGCUGUCAAGGUUGUGCUUGCCGCAGACAGGGCAACUGAUACCACAUAUGGAAAACUACAGGUUAGUUUUUGUUUAUCUCUUCCCACGACAUGCUUACAAAUUUGACAUGAGGCAACUGUCCGUGGUUUAUAAGGCAUGCUUACAAUUUCUUUUUGUUUUUUAUAGCUGGUGGCCAAGCAUGCUAUAGACUACAACAUGUUUGGGGGGCCUCAAAAUUUUGGAAAGUGGAUGGAUGUGCACUUAGCUCCGUCUUGCCCUUCUGAGGUAAUCAAAAUAUCGACAUCCAUUGUUUGCCGUGGAUUACUUGUUGAUGUCGCGCAAGCGACUGCAAUACGGAUUGUUGUUAAUACUUCUUGUUUUUGUGCACAGGCGAGGGCACUAGUUGAGCAUCUAAUUGGGCAGUUUGCAUCCGGAAUGACCGGCUUGCUCGGGAAGUUGGUUGAGGGGUGGACGUCCCUCAGUGCCUCUGACAGCGACGCGGUUGCGAGGCAGUUCACUUCAUUUGUCCCAGAACAUACACAUCGACCAACCGGUAGCCGUGGCCGGUAUGACUACAACAGUUCCCAAGAGCCCGGUGACACACAAGAUGAUGUAGAUGGAGACGCUGGCCUCAGCAAGGAUGACGAUGAUGACAUGGAUAAUGUGCAUCAGGACACGGAUGACGAUGAACAAGCUGAAGUUCGCACAGGCGCCAACAAGGGCAAGGAUGCAACAGAUGCCCCCCCACCGGAGAAAGUGAUAGAGCAUACGGCUGCGAGAGGCGAGGGGGUGUUGCCAUCAAGGAGGGGGAGGGCUCCAUAUGAUGUUGGGCAGGGUUCGCAUGGCAAGAGGUCUAGGACUGAUCCCGUAGCUGCCAGGAGGAGGUUCGACUUUCAAUUUUAGUUUUCUGUUGUGUCUAUUUUCUUGGAACAAUCUCAUCCAUUUCUCUGCACUUGUUUUUUGUCAAGCGCGGCAAUGGGUUUGUUGUCUGACAGUUGCCACCUUCUUUUCUCUCUCCAUCUGUUACGUGCAGGGAGCCGACCGCUGGUGGACGAGCAGUUACGAAGAAACAGGCGCCAACGCCAACCCGUGUUUCUGCUCGCUUGAACAAAGGUGCCCCCAUUGUCGGUGACACCCCUUCCAUCAGGUCUUCUCCUCGUACAACGACGACCAACACCGCGGAUCCUGUCGUGUUGCCAGACCUGAGGAAGCCAGUCAAGAAGUAUGUUUAUCCAUGUGCUUUCAUGUACAUAGUGGUAUUUUUCUUGAAUUUUCAAUGCUACUGUUUCAGCUUGUCACAUGUUCUUCUGUCAUCGUCCCCCACGCGACAACCGCUGUUUUUCCAAAUGAUUUCUUCCUUCAUUUUUUAGUUUACGGCAACUCCUAUUGGUCUUUACAUGGCAACUGGCUUCUAGGCCAACUGGCAACUAGCACUCUAGCUAAUGGCAGCUGCCAUCUUUACCUUUGGGUUUGUGAGCUCAUCCCACACACAGGUUUCAAAUUGCAUUCCUGACAGAACAUACACUUGUAUCAUUCUUCAAGUUUGCUAACAUGGCAACUGCUGCUGGAUGGCAACUGCUAACUAUGACACAUGGCAACUCAUGUUCCCAUUACAUGGCAACUACCAGCUUUUCCACUUGUUUUUUCAAUUCUUUUAAGAUUUCUACCAUGGCAAACAUAUUUUUUGUUCAUUUUUUCAUACCUUUCUCAUGUGAUUUUUUUCUUUUUCAGGGUGAAGAAGACCACUAUACGCGGGGCCAAGCAUAGCAGUAAGGACCCGUUCAAACGCCUACAUUCAAAGUUGUCAACGGGGGGCAACUCAGAUGUACAUGAGGCACCAGGCGACAAUACUGCUGCUGCACCAUUGACCGCUCCCACCAACUUUGAUGCAAGUGGCCGACUAUCUUCGCCGGCUGCGGAUGUCCAGGCUAGAACAACAGGCAUCCGUACAUCGGGGAGUGACGAGUCGGUAUCUGCCAGGACAGCUGAAAUAUUGCCAACUCUUCUUGCAAUGAAGGAUGCUGCUGUGAGCCAUGCCACCCCAUCAGCAAGCGUUGAAGUGGACGCUCCCGAGACGAACCUAGGCAGGGAAGAUUCCCGCUCUUCUGAUACUGAUUCCAAACGCGUGCGUGGUGGCACACCUGUGUCCACGACAGAAGCUGCUGAGGCGGCAGUUCAUAAGGAUAUGCCAUCUACAGGUGAGAGUCCUGGCACAACAGCUCCAGCCCCUGUCGGUGCAGAUACUGCUAAGGUGACCGUGGCGCGUGCUGGUCUUCCACCUAGGCGUCGCAGCCCCUGCAAGCAACCAACAGUCAUACCCAACGCACCGGCUGUAUCUAGGAGCAGGAGAGACGAGCCUGGGUAUGUUCCUGCGUCCACACUGUUCCCGCCACCCGCCAGAAGCAAUGUGAUGGAGAAACCGCAAGACCGGAGCACAAUUGAUGCAGGUGUGAAGCCGGGCACGAGUGACGCAGGUGAACAGUCGGGGCAGACUGCGCCUUUACCCGCAGUGGAAAUCCCCAGGAUAAAUCUGCGCACUUCCAGGCUCCCAGUCAAUGUCGGUGUCCCCUACAGCCCAAACAAGAAGAUUGCCAUGAAAGCUGCUGCUGAUACCGCCGACAACACGCCCCGCCCUACAAAUAAGCCCGAACAUUCUGUAGCGGCCGAUUCAGAUAUGUUUGUCGAUCUUUCACCAUUGGAUUCUGCCCCGCAAAUCGUUCGUGGUCCGGCCAGUAGGAAUGAGAGGCACCCAAUGGCAUUUACCCCACCGGGCUUCAGUCUUGGCAUCAGUCAAGAUCAACCGGUGGUGCACGAUCCUUUGCCAGUUGCCUUUGCUUUCCCAGGAGGCAUGCCCGCAAUGAUGGCGCAGCCAAUGGUCGAGGGCAGGAAGGCUGUCAAGUUUGCGGAGCCAAUUGUGCAAGGUACACUUGUCAUGUCCUUAUGAUUUUCCUGGAUACAUCUUUGUGGUUUGAAUUUUGUCCCAAUCAUAUUCUUUUGGGUGUUCUCACUUGUGAUGGCAACUGCCGUGUGAUGGCAUGGCAAGUGGAUUUGAUGCACCAUGGCCUACAUUUUUUUUGGUUGCCAUGCUGCAUUUUUGACAUUCGGGUAAACACGUGGCAACUGAAGUUGAUUCAUCAUGGCAACUGUAUUUGCUGGUACAUGGCAAAUAUAGUGCAUUCCACAUGGCAACUGGAUUUGCCACACCAUGUCAUCUGCAUUUUUUUGUUACCAUUCUGCAUUUUUUUUGUACGGCAAUCACAUGGCAAGUGGGGUUGACACAGCAUGGCAACUACAUUUCAUGUGACAUGGCAACCACAAUCCAUCUAGAUGGUAAUUCAGCACAACUGCAUGGCAACUAUAGUUGCCAUGACGUGGCCACUGUAGUUGCACCACACAUGUCAAUUUCCCCACUAUUUUUCUACCUACAUGUCACAUCAUACACCUUAUUUUCUCACAACCCAUCUGUUUUCUGACUUUCUCCUUGUCCUAACACACUUUUUAUUUUUUGAGCCAUUGCGGGCACCCCUGAGGAAAUUUCACCGUCACUUGACGAAGCUUACCGCAAGAUCGAGGAGGCAGCAUUGCAGAGGAGGACCUUGCGAGGGCAAGGGCAAUCAAGUUCCAACUUGCCUGCAGAGACGGCAUCUGAGGAUACCAUCAGAAGUGCCACCCCUGGUUCUGUGAGACAGCAGAGGGUAGUUCACCCACCUCCCGCGGAAGACUACGAGCCCGAAUUCAGGGCCACUAAGGAACAAACCCAGCUGUACGACAUCAUCAAGCGGUUUGGAAAUGCGAGAGCCAGCAGCAAGCACAUGAAGGAGUUAAAAGCGUAAAUGACCACACCCUAUAAUCUCUCAUUUUGCUUUGUUCCUUUCUUAACAUUCAUCUUCUUCGUACUCUUUGUACAUGAUGCGCUUACGUUCUAGUUCUUUCAUAUAUUUUUUUACUUAGCAGACAUGAUUCUUCCAUGUUAUGUCGUUUUCAUACAGCUCAUGUUUGGACAGAACCAAAGUCAUUCAAUGCAGAGCGACGUACGUCGACCUAGGUGAUCUCGCCGAGUCCGUGAGGCCAAACGGUAAAAUGUCGACAAAUGUAGUUGCAUGCGGGAUCGACUACAUCAACAAUUACAUCGAUGUGUGUGCCGACAAGAUCAUCAUGCAUUACAGUGUGACAUGCAAAAUAUGGGAUGGUGACUUCCACCACAAAAUCCUGAGGAAGAAUUUCGCUCAACACGGUGAAUUCAAGCUAACACUGAAGAAAUAUGUGAGUUCUCCUCCCCUGUCUGCACUGUUUUUUCAGAUGGUGUGGUUUUUGCCAUCUGCUGCACUUGUGAUUAUGUGGCAGAUGUUUUCAUGUGGCAACAGCUGCCGUGCACACUGUCAUCUUAAUUUUUGCAUCCCGUGCGAACUACGUGGCAAUUUGAUUGUAAAAUGCACGACACAUUUUGCUCACCCAUAACCAAACAUUCUACGUGAUUCUAUUUUUUUUGUCCCUCCGAUGUUCUUUUUGUGUAAUCUGCUUUCUCAUUCAUUCACUUUUCAAAUGCAGGUCAUGUUCCCCAUGUUCCAGGAGCUUGCACCACAUGACCAGCAAGACAAGUGUGGUCACCACUAUGCCAUCUGCCUUGACCUGAAGAACCAACGUUUUGAGGUGCUUGAUUCAAUCCGUUCGGAAGCUGAUUCAGACCUUACUACGCAUGCCGAAUUCUUCAUCAACAACCUCAAAGAGACAUGGAACCGUCACUAUGAACAUUCAAAGGUCCAGAUCAGGCAUUUCCCGAUUGAGUAUGUGGCCACUGUGAAGCAAGGGAACACGUAAUUUCUCAACCCCCUCCUUCAUGUGCCGUUUACAUCAAUCCAACCCCUAUUUUUGUUGUCACAUCUGAAUUAAAGUCUAUCUUUGAUACAUCUGUCCUUUUUUGCGUGUUCAUCUGAGUCUUUUUCUCGUGCAGUACGGACUGUGGCUUUCAUGCGCUGGAAUACUUUGCAAAGUGGGAAGGCAGAGUUGUCCCUGCUAUCUCAGCUGCAACGGUCAUUGAGCUCCGAAAAAUCCACACAUGGAGCUGGUUGACGAAUGAAGAUUUCAACAAGCGGUCCGGAGCACGCGAGUUCGUGGAGGAAGCUUUCAAGAAAAUCAACAAGAAGUACAAGUGAUCACGUGGUGUUACAGACCGGACGCAUACCUUACAUUCUGUUGCUGAGGAAUGUAAGGUACUUAUCUCUUUGUUAUCUUUGAAAACUAUGUCAGUGUGCUAUGUUACGACUGCAACCCCGCGCAGGCUACUUUGUAGUGGUGGUGUGUGAGCGACAAUUUAGUAGUUUCUCUAAUAUAUGUGUGGACGUGAACCUUUUUAGGCGUAAAUGCACAUAUGUUUUUAUGUUUUAUCAUUAUUACAACGGUUUCAUCGCUUACAGCUCCAGUUUGCUGUUUUGAUUGCGUCUAUGAUGUUCUAAAAAAGAUGGGAAAUGUAGUUCACCAUACACGGGUAGCGAAAGUCAUCAUCGGUUUUCAUUUUGUCGGUUUUGCUUCUUCUUUUUCAUCACUAAGUGCACCGGCUAGCAUGGGGUAGGGUUGAUCAUGCAUUCACAACCUUGGCUAUGGUUUAUGCACGUUAUGCCUUUUUCCAACUUGUUUCCCAUACAUCGCCCACAACACACUAUGUUUCUCUAAACCGUGUGGUAUUUGUCAUGGAAAUAUAUAUCACGCAGAGUCAUUUCAAAUACCAUGGUAUAUUUUCAGCAGAGCUAACAUGGCAGAUACAGUUCAAAUAACAUGGCAGAUCAAGCAUAAUUAACAUGGUAGAUACAGUACAACUAACAUGGCAGAUCUAGUACAACUAAAAUGACAGAUCCAGUACAUCUAGCAUGGCAUAUUUAGUACAAAGUAGCAUGGCACAUAUUUUAGUAUAAAAUAGCAUGGCAUGGCAGAUUUAGUACACAUAACAUGGCAGAUUUAAUACACAUAACAUGGCAGAUUAAGUACCCAUAACAUGGCAACUGCAUUUCUCCACUCAAUGAAUUUUCCUUCCACUUCUGAUGCUCCUCAAGAGUUAUUCUCACAAUUUUUUUUUUUAAAAACUCAUCGUCUAGGGUACAAAAGAAAAUGUCCACAAGGACCAUUUCACAUUGCCCCAAUUUCUGCUCAUGGAUUGCCCGCCCCUUUCUUCGUUUUCUUGUGUUUUGCUUAAAUCUCCAAUCCUGACUUGUACCUUAUCUCUCUGGGGCGACCCUUUGUGAUGGAACGGGGUGGGUUCCUGACCUGGGUUUGUGUGCUUGCUGUUCCAGAUCCUAUCUCCGAGUUUUCAGACGAUGGCCCCAUCGAUGAAGGCACACUUGAUGUGCGGGGGAACCGGUGUAAGGCUUCCUCAGCUUUCCUCUUCUUGAUCUCCUCAAGCUCUCUUUUCAGUGUCUUCCUGUGUUUUUCUGCGACUCUCGCUGUCUUAUCACUCUUGCACGCUUCAUCAAUUAGCUCAGCAUAGUUCUUUGUGAGCACAACGUGCCUCACGGCUUCCAUGGUUGACUCAGGUCUCUCGUCAUGCACAGCCAGAACCGCGUGUGUUGUUUGUGGCGCCAACGCGUCGUCAGCGUCCCAAGUCCAUCGCCGCCUUAUGAAAUGGCGGGGCAUCCGUGUCACAGCGUUCAUGUCCAUUACCUUUAGUAUGUGACAACACACAAUGUCGUCCCGUUCGAACUUGCAGCAUUGGCAGUAGUAUUCGCCUUGCUCGAUCGAGGUUUUCAUGAAGUAGUUCCUUCCUUUGUCUGGGUCUUCAGGUUCUGAAUCCGACAUGCCCAAAAUAGAACACACCUUGAACGUAUGUUCGUCCACCUGGAAAGCCGUGAACAUGCUGGCACGCUUUAUUUCUUCCUGGAAUCUGCAAGUUUUGUGUGUUUUAUGUUAAUCUAUCGUGCGAUCUUUUUUUUUUGUAGGACGUUACGCUGUCAUGGAAAUAGAACUAGAUUUUUGUUUGAAUAUGGCAAACAUAGUACAUUGAACAUGGCAAACAUAGUACACUGAACAUGGCAACUGUAGUAUACCAGACAUGGCAACUGCAGUAUACCAGACAUGGCAACUGCAGUACACCAGACAUGGCAACUGUAGUACACUAAACAUGGCAACUGUAGUAUACCAGACAUGGCAACUGCAGUACACCAGACAUGGCAACUGGAGUACACUGAACAUGGCAACUGUACAACAUUUUCAACUGGCCAUCGUCAUUUCCACACCAAUAUUUCCCCCAAUGGAAGCACAGUGCAUAAAACAUGACAUCUACAUUUGAGUAAACAUAGCAAUUGCAUUUUCAACAAACAUGGCAGUUGCAUUUCAGUAAACAUGGCAAUUGCAUUUCAGCAUAUGCGUUGACAAUAUAACAUUUUUCAGUUGAUAUUGGCAUUUGCAUACCAACAUGCCCCAAUGGAAGUACAGUUUAUUAAACAUGGCAUCUGCACUUCAUUUGAACAUGGAAAAUGUAUCCGAGUAAGCAUUGUAAACAGAAUUUUCAUUGAACAUGGCAACUACAGCUGAGUAAGCAUGGCAAACCGUAUUUCAUUAAAUAUGGCAACUGCAUAUCAUGGCAACUGCAUUGCACUCUACUAGGCACCUACUGCCUUAGUACUUUUGCACAAAUAAGACCGUAACGCAAUUGACUUACUUGUUAAAGAUCUUGUUUGUGUAUAUCUUGCUCAUUUGCCUCUCCAUCGGUAAAUACGUCAGCAAUUUUGGCUGCUUUAGUGCGGUGUUCGCUUCUUGCUGUAGCUCAGGUCCCAGUAUUUUUUGUUGCAAAGCUGUAUAUUGCUUGGCAAACUGUAGCAAUGAGUUGCCAGGACUCACGUAUCGCUUCAAAACAGCAUUGAACCCCUCGCUGCGCUGCGUAGUCUGCAGAAAGGGGAAGAAGCACUGCAUGAAGUAGGCGGGCACCCAGUACAUUCGCUUCUCCCACAGGCUAGCAAACGUCUCGUUGUCUUGGACUUCAUGUGCUUCAACCAUGGCCAUCCAGCUCCUUUCAAACUCCUCGACCGUCAAGCUGUGGUCCACACACAGCUCGAAUACCUUGUGCAGCUCUGGACGGUUAGCAAAGAACGGUCCUAGCGUCUCCUCAGCCUUCUUUAUAAUGUGCCACCUGCAGUGCCUGUGCAUUGCCAACGGAAAGACCCCCUCUAUGCCUGCCCGCAUGCUGAAAUCUUGGUCUGUUAUUAUGUUCAUCGGCGCAAGUCCAUCCAUGCACUCCAAGAAGGUCUUGAACAACCAGACGUACCCAUCCCUGUCUUCGUUCCGAACGAGCCCGCAGCCGAACUGCAACGACUGAUUGUGGUUAUUUAUUCCUAUGAACGGAGCGCAUGGCAUCUUGUACAUAUUGGUGAGGUACGUCACGUCGAAUGAAAUGCAAUCUCAGAAAUGUUUGUAGGCUCUCCUUGCAGCACCAUCCACCCAAUACAUGUUCCUGACACAGUCCUCAUCGUCCAACCUUAUCCUGUAGAAGAAAUCUGGAUCUUCCUUCGCUUUCUCAUCGAAGUAGGCAAUUGUGGCCUCUAUGUCCGCCGGUUUGCUCUCUCUACGGUAUUUGGCCUGUAGGUUUGUGACGUCAGCUGGUAUGUACGGCAUGCUACUCAGAGUCCCCUUUUUGCUGUGGAUGAGCGAUAGUAUCUGGAUCAUUCUUGAUGGACUGACGUUACAAUCGUGUAGCAGCUUUACGAAUUGUCUUUCGACGGGGGUGAACCCUCUGUGGGCGGUCAGAAAUUUUACCAGGUCGAACUUCUUUAUGAGUUGGUGGUUGUGCUCGUCAAAAUAGUCAGUGACCACCCACUGUGUACCAUCUACGUUUAGCUUACACCGGACAGGGCAUUCUGUCUUUAGAAUGAUACCUCUCUUUCGUUCCGGAACGACAGACGCAUCACCUUUCCCCUUCUUGUUCCUCCAUGCCUUGUGGCACCUCAUCUCACCUCUGCUGUACUCAUUAGUUUUCUUAAUUUUCCUAUGGUACUCGGUGUUGACCGCAAAUCCAUGGAACUUUGCAUAUGUCUGGUAGUAUUCCUUUGCUUCUUUGAACGAUUCAAAUCUCUGCCCAAUGUACGGUGGCUGAGGUACCAUGAUCUCUGAUUGCCCGCCAUCUUCAUCCCCUUCUGCCUCGUCGUCAGUUUCAUCAUUCACUUCAGUAUCGGCGGCAGUCCCAUCCACUUGAGUGUUGGCAGUGCUUGUGUUCAAAGGGGUGCUUGUCGGUAUUGCUGGAAUAAUUGCCAUUCCCGACUGUGACUCGAAAUUGUCUGCGGCAUGAUUGUCUGCUGGCUGGUGGAACGCGUCUUCCGUGCGCUCAGAGCUCCCCGCAGUAGAUGUCCCCGCGCCGCUGUUAACUGUAGUUGUAGGCCCUGUAAUAGGAAAAAUAGAUACGAGAGUAAGUUUUUUGUUUGAAUAACAUAUGUAUCGCAACGGAUCACACCAUCUACGAGUGAUUUGGCACGACAUCAUUUCAAACAGCAAGCCGUGAUUCUGCGCAUGGACAUGUACGGCAGCUACAGCUGUCCAGUGAUGGCAGCUACUGUUCAACAAACAUGGCAACUAUUGUUUUUGCCUACAAAUAACUUCAAAUAACAAAUGUAGUGCUGUUUUUGUGGUUCAGUUUUUUUUCCCUUACCUUGUUGUGUUGCAUUUGACCUUUUUGUGUGGUCUGUGACACCAAAAUGACGUGCUCCACCUGCAGUUUCUGAAGCUUGCCACGAGACGUUUGCCGGGUUACCACCAGCGUAAUAACCUGUACGCAAAGUAGUGGUUGGUCAAUUCAUGGCAAAUGCAUUUUGUGUUAGCACGGCAACCGCAGUUGCCCCUUCUGUGGCAACUGCAGUUUUACUGGCAUGGCAACUGUAUUUGCAUCGGCAUGGCAACCGCAGUUGUUCCUUCAUGACAGCUGCAGUUGCCAUGGCAUGGCAAAUGUAGUCGCACUGGCAUGGCAACUGCAGUUGUUCUUUCCUGGCAACUGCAGGUGUCCAUGGAUGGCAACAACAAUUGUGCAGAGAUGUCAAGUGUAUUUUCUAAUUCACGGCAACUGUAGUUGUCCAGUCCUGACAAUUGUAGUUGUCAACUAUGCUCCUUCUGCUAAUUGAUCAUCCGUAACUUCACUUUUUUUAUGGACUCACCUGUGUAUGACGUCGAUGGCAGGUAUAUUGGUGCUGCCUGAUGCCACGCGCUACAUGAAGGCUCUGCAUUUUCACCCGUGGUAACUCGUGGGUCCUUUUGCCAGUUUUUUUGCAUGUUCAUUUUUCAUGUCCACUGCAGUAUGUUCUCUUUUCUCGGUUUGCAUUACCUUGAUUAUCCAUACAAGCUAGUUGAAGUUGGCUGCCCAUACAUUUGUCAGUGUUAGCGCCUUGUGAGUGAACUUGUCACGGGGGCCCCCUAAUUGUGUUUUGGUCAUAAGAACCUGCGAAAAAAUGACAGUGCACGACAUAAGUAGAAUGUCAUCUUCAUCAUUGCGAAGAUGGCAACUGUUCUCUUCUUUUGUUAUCACGCAUCAUACCUACGCCUGCAUACUGUUCUAGUAGUGGCAGCAACGGCCCUGAAGAGAUGAGCUGACUGUACUCUAUUGCAUCCCAAGGGGGCAUUUCUGGCCUUUGAGAACCCCAAGCAUCAGCGCCAUCUUCGUGAUUCAUUCUUUCCGUGUCUCGCUUCUUUCCAAUGUGUUCUCAAUCACUGCAUGAACAAGAAGGCAUCAACAAUCCACAAGAAUUGUAUUCUUCUGCUGCUUGCACAUAGAAGAUAUGGAUGGCAAGCGACGGGUCAAAAUAGGUGGCAGCUACCGACAAGGAAAGGUGGCAACUGUCGUUAUACACAAGUGGCAACUAAUUUCUUCCAGCCCUCUUCAUUCCAACAUUUGCUCCUACUGUCCUUCUUUAGUGAUUCCUACUCAUCCAUUUUUCAUACCCAACUACUUGCGUCAAUUAAGCUAGGAAGUUAAGUCAUUUUCAAACGUAGUACAUGGCAGAUCUGGUGUACUCUGCCUGGCAAUUGCGACUACACACUAAACCAUGUAGUGUUCUACCCCUAUAGCAUAGAUCCAGCACAAGAUCAGGAGAUUUUCAGCCUUAAGGAUGAGAAGGUCGAGAUCGGGAGAUUCUCACCUGGUUUUUAGAUUUUCGUCUCUGGAGGGCUGGGUUGGAGUUUGGGGCUGGGGUGGGGAGGGUUGGGGUGUGGUUUUGAGGUGGGAGUGCCCUAUGGAUGUGCUCUGAUUGCCAUGGCAACCAGAGAAGGCCGGCGACGGAGGUCGGGGUUCGAGAGGUGGGGGACGAUGGCGGCAGACGAGAGAGGGGAUUGAUCAGAGGCCGUGAACUGCUUUGUCGUGCGGGCAGCGGGUCGGCUUGCCCGGACGAGGCAGUGCGGGCGGGGUUGGCACGCAACGGACGUGCGGGCCGUGCUUUUGUGCGCGCGGACGUGGUCAUGCGGGCCGGUUCCCGUCCAUGCCACACGAGGCGUGCGGGCUGGUUUCCGUCGACGCCACACGUGUGGCAGUUAUUCGGACCCUAGUUAAUUCCUUAGUUAAAAUUUGACACAAAUUACAAAAGGUUUGAUAAAUCCGGACGGAGGUAGUACUAGUAGGCCGUAUAAUGAUUUCUCGGAAUCUUUAAAGGCGAAAAAAGGAAGAAGGGGGCAACAAAUGCCCAAAAAACAAAGAUAUUUUCCGAGAGGAAGGUGCCUUCGGAGAAGAAGCACAGCUCACUCAGCUACGGACCUGCAGCUAGUCCGCUGCAUCAUCCUCAAAGUCAAGGUCUCCUCCUCCUCCCGCCAGCGACCUCCACUGCGACCGACAGGCAGGUGCGCACACGCUCUUCCUUAGAUCCUCUUCUUCGUCCUGCUUUGAUUCCGCGCUCUGUCCGGGCUUGCUCGUCGGACUGCGCCGGCGGCCCAGGCCGCACUUUGUGCUUCCGGAUCUGGCAGCCGGACCUGGGUCGUCGCGCCGAGAUGGCGAAUCCAAUCCCCAUAUUAUCAGGGUGUGAUAUGCGCUUCUGAUUUGGGCCGAUUCCUGCCCGCCUUUCAGCAGUUCCCCACUCUGCUCCUAGCCUGUCUUGACUGCAGAUAUGCUCAUUCAUCAUUCCUUCUUUGAUGCUGCAGGGCCGAAGCCUCCGGCAAACUCUGAUGUGAAUCAGCAGCAUGUGAGAGCGGCUUUCAAGCUAUCCUGCCCGGCCCGGUUACUAGUUUCGUCGUCAGUUAGGUAACGAUUUUUCUCUUUCAGUAUGGAUGUAUCAAGCCAGACUAGCUCUUUCACAGCUUGCAAUGUGAUUUUCACAACACAGCCAAAACCACAUGUCGGAAGAACGAGAAACACUUCACCAACACGUGUUCCCAUACCAGGUUUAAUCCUCAUGUGCGGCAGCAAAGUUAGACACCACUGUGGCCAUGACAUAUUGACAUAUGGGGCACACAAUGCCUAUGACAUGUUGACUUAGGGGGGGUAUAAAAGUUCUAAUUUUUCUGUACCUGCAUAUGAGGUUCGACAUCUUUGUAACAUGUUUAAUCAACAUAUCCCUUUAAGGUGUUCUCUUGUGGCGGUGUAUUUAGUACUCCCUCCUUCAUAGAAGAACAUUUCAAUUUUGCUGUAUUUUGUAACAAUUGCAGCUAUUUAUUCCAUCAUAAGCAUUAAAGUUCCAUAGCGGACACGACUAUAUUUAAGCGAUUAAGUCAAGUCACACAAAUGUACUGCGUUUAGUUAUGUAUUAAAACAUGACUUAAAUUUUCCUUCAUUCACAAUACCAUUUAUCAGCACAACGCUAUAUCUUUUUCCUUAUAUGUAAUAUAUGGACCCAAUUAGUAGUUCUAUCAGAUUAUCUCAGUGUUAGCUGACAAAGAGUGAUAAUUGUAUAUUUAUCUACUACAGGUACAUUGGCAUAAGGUAUCUUCACUCAUGAUAUUUUGAUAAAAUUCUUAUUAAAUAUCAACAGAACUACACAUUCCAUCCAUGCAUGAAACCAGUGGAGUUAAGUGUCAACAACGCUAGAGAUUUUGAGUUGGAAAAUUAGUGGAAAUAAGUCAAGCAUCAGAGAAAUUUUCUCUCUGAAUAUAUAUAUAUAUAUAUAUAUAUAUAGCUAGUUUGCGACCUAAUUUUUUUGGGAUGAAAUCAGUUAUCGUCCCAUUUAACACGUGAUCUAUGUUUAUUUUAUUCAGCACAAAUGGCGGAGGCUGUGCUCCUUGCUCUUGGAAAGACUGGGAAGGUUUUAACUGAUGAGGUUGCCAAGGCCUUGGUGGCCAAGGUGUUAGCAAAAGUUGGUAACCUGAUUGAUCUGAAUGACAAGAUUGGGCAAAUAGAGGUUCAGUUAAAAGCCAUGAACAACAUCAUACGGGAGAUUGGCACAAUGUACCUCACCAAUGAGUUCAUGAAGGGUUGGAUUGGGGAGGUGAGGAAGUUGGCCUACCGCGUUGAGGAUGUGCUGGACAAAUACUCAUAUCACUCUCUUCAAAUGGCAGAAGAAGGUUUUCUGAAGAAGCGUUUCCUCAAAGGAUCACAUUAUCUCCUGGUUUUCAGUCAAAUUACCGAUGAGGUAGUCAAGAUAGAGAAGGACAUCAAGCAAGUUAUCGAGCUCAAGGGGUGGUCGCAACCACCCCAGUAUGUUCAUGACCCGCUUAGUGAGGUGGAAAGACAACGGUCCCAAGAUCGCUUCCCUGAACUUGUGAAAGAUGAAGAUCUGAUUGGAAUUGAAGAUAACAGGAGAAUGCUGACUGAAUGGCUGUACUCGGAUGAGAUGGACGGUAGGGUGAUAACAGUGUCAGGUAUGGGUGGCUUGGGAAAAACAACCCUCACCACAAAUGUGUAUGAACGUGAAAAGGCCAACUUCCAAGCUCAUGCAUGGGUGGUUGUGUCUCAGACCUACACCGUUGAAGCUCUGUUGAGGAAGUUACUCAGGAAGGUUGGUUACACUGAACAACAAGCAUCAUCUAACAUUGACCGGAUGGAUGUGUAUGACUUGAAGGAAGAAAUAAAGCGAACACUUCAAGAUAGGAAAUGUUUGUUCGUCUUGGAUGAUGUCUGGAACCAGGACGUGUACUAUCAACUGCGAGAUGCACUCCAGAAUUCUCGUGAAAGUCGCAUCAUCAUCACAACGCGGAAUAACCAUGUUGCUGCUGUUGCUCACUCGUCACGUCGUAUCGAUCUCAAGCCUUUGGGGGACAAUGACGCAUUUGAACUCUUCUGCAGAAGGGUCUUUUAUAGCAAAAAGGACCAGCAGUGUCCUGAUUAUCUUUUGGAAACUGCUAAAUCUAUAGUUCAUAGGUGUCGGGGACUGCCACUAGCAAUUUUAUCGAUUGGCGGCCUCUUGUCUUCGAGGCCACAGACACAAUAUGAUUGGGAGCAAUUAUACAAUCAGCUUCCAACUGAGCUGUCGAACAAUGAUCAUGUCAAGGCAGUUUUGAAUCUGAGCUACCAUGACCUAUCUGGAGACCUCAGAAACUGCUUCUUGUACUGUAGCUUAUUCUCGGAAGACUACCCAAUGUCACGUGAGACCCUUGCGAGGCUCUGGGUUGCAGAAGGCUUUGUGUUGAGAAAAGGAAAUAGCACCCCAGAGGAGGUGGCCGAGGAAAACCUAAGGAAACUGAUCCACCGCAAUAUGCUUGAAGUCAUGGAUAGAGAUGAACUGGGAAGGGUGAGCACCUGUACGAUGCAUGAUAUUGUGCGAGAGCUGGCUCUUUGUAUUGCAAGGGAGUAGCGGUUUGUAUCCACAAGCGACUAUGGCACAAUGCAACAGAUGGAUAUGGAUGCUCGUCGUCUGUCAUCAUGUGGAUGGAAAGAGAAUACUGCACGGAAAAUUGAACUUCCACGUCUUCGAACUCUAGUGUCGCUAGGAGCAACACCUGCCAUGCUAUCCUCAGUUUUGUCGAAAUCCAGCUAUCUGACUGUCCUCGAGCUACAAGACUCUGAAAUCACUGAAGUACCGGCAUUGAUAGGGACACUCUUCAAUUUACGUUACAUUGGCUUACGCCGCACUAAGGUCAGGUCCCUCCCGGGCUCUGUUGAGAAACUAUCUAACCUGCAAACUCUGGACAUCAAGCAAACUAAAAUAGAGAAACUGCCAAGUGGGAUUGCCAAGCUCAAGAAUCUACGGCACCUAUUUGCUGAUAGAUUUGCUGAUGAGAAGCAGACGGAGUUUCGGUACUUUAUCGGAGUUCAAGCACCUAAAGAACUAUCCAGUAUUGAAGAGCUGCAGACUCUUGAGACCAUCCAAGCCAGCAAGGAUUUGGCCGAGCAGCUGAAGACAAUGAUGCAACUUAGAACUCUGUGGAUUGACAACAUAAGUUCUGCUGAUUGUGCAAAUAUUUUUGACACCCUGUCAAAUAUGAAACAUCUUUCCAGCUUGCUUCUUUCCGGGAAGGAUGAGAAUGAGGCACUUUGUUUCGAGGCUCUCAAGCCAAGGUCUGCACAUCUCCACAAGUUGAUCAUCAGAGGGAAAUGGGCAAAGGGGACACUGGACUGCCCGAUAUUUCGCAGCCACGGGGAAAAUCUCAAGUAUCUAGCACUAAGCUGGUGUCACCUCGGGGAAGAUGAAGAUCCGCUAGGGAUGCUUGCACCACACCUGCGGAACCUCACAUAUCUGAAACUUAACAACAUGCGCAGUGCAAAUAUCUUGGUUCUUUCUGCAGAUUCCUUUCCUCAGCUGAAGACGCUUGUGUUGAAGGACAUGCCUCAUGUCAACGAGCUAAAGAUCAUGGAUGGUGCCCUCCCAUGCAUUGAUGGUUUGUAUGUUGUUUCGCUGUCGAAGCUUGACAAGGUCCCUCGAGGCAUUGAAUCCCUUGGUUCCCUGAAGAAGCUUUGGCUGCUGCGCUUGCACAGGGACUUCAAAACUCAGUGGGACAUCAACGGGAUGCACCAGAAGAUGACGCGUGUUCCAGAGGUUCGUGUCUGAAUGCGGCAUAGUGGUUCUUUUUUCUGCAGUGGCAUUCUGGUAUGGUGCAUCCAUGUCAUUCUAGAUUUAAUAAUUCUGGCAUGUUACAAUUCUUAAGACACCAUUUGCGAGUCUUGUACUUUUGUAUCGUGAUACGGUUUCUGUUUUGAAAAUGCCGGUGUUCAUUGCCUUCAGGAGGCCCUGUACUUUUUUUGUAUUAUUUCAGUUCCAUGCUGUAAAACUGAUUUCAGGAAACAGUUGUGUCGAACAUGUGAGAAAACAAUGUUGUAAAAUUUGUUUACCUUGCUGUUAGUAGAUACCGCUCAAUCUAUGUUUCUACUGCAUCCUGCUUGUUGUUCUCGAAGAGGCGCAUCCUCGGUCGAGACUGAUUUCCGUGUCCAAGUGAAGCCCUUGCUUGAGUUGAGAGUCCGAGAGGCGGGAUUUGGUAGGUGCUCAACAACUGCAGUGUUUAAUGUGUGAAGAAAAUGUUGUGUUUUAGUAACAGUAGUUUUGAUUCUGGUUUAGGCCGCUGCUGGGGUUUGUAUUUGUACAGCUUUACUGAUCUGUACUGUUUGAGUAGGUUUGGUACCACCCUUAGAAAUGCUGCUGGCUUUGUACAAGCUGCACGUACACAAUUCAUUUUGUGUAUGGUGGGAAUACCAUGAUGGCCAUUUCAAGUGUCGUAUGGAGGGGAGCUCCUAACCGGCGCCUUAAGCGCCGGUUCAGGAAGCUGGCAGUCACACGCCGCACCUCAUGGGCCGGCCCACCACGCGCUGAGGAAGGAAAGCUAGUGACUACAACGAACGUGAAAUGUAUAAGAACCAAUAAAUUAGCGCUAUUUAUUAGAUUUCCUAACUAUUUUAAAAACACUUCAUCAAAUUUUGAAAAAAGUUUACGAAUUAAAAAAAACAGUUCAUUGAUGUUUAAGAAAAGUUCAGUAAAUUAAAAAAAGUUCAUCUAUUUGAAAAAAUUUCAUCCUUCUUUUUUAAAAAUAUUUCAUCGCAUCUAAAAAAAGUUCAAUGAAUUUGAAAAAACGUUCAUCCUUCUUUUUAUAAGAAAAGUUCAUCAAAUCUAAAAAAAGUUCAACGAAAUUGAAAAAAACGUUCAUCCUUCUUUUUUAAAAAAAGUUCAUCAAAUCUAAAAAAAAGUUCAACGAAUUUGAAAAAACAAUCACAAUGGGACUCGAACUCCAGACAUAGCGCUGCAUGCUAACGAAGCUGGCCAGCUGGGAUACUAAUUGUGUACAUCCUAAAAACGGCGUUUGUUUUUAAGUACCAACCCAAAUGGUAGAUCCAGGGUUUUUCAACAUUUUCCAUUAAUUCUUGGAAAAAUUGAAAAUCUUAAAUAUGCGAACAAAUGUUUCGAAUAUCAUACGCAAAUUUCGAAUAUUCCUUUUCUUUUAAAUGUGAACUAUGUUUUUCAAAAGUCAAAAAGUGAACAAGUUUCGAAAAUUGAAUACUUUUUUUGUACUGUGAACAAUUUUUAGAAAGGGAAUUUAGAAUACACAUUGAACAUUUUCUUAUUAUAGGGUGAACAUCAUUCAAAGAGACACUGAACAUUUUUUUUAAAAUACGCUGAACUUUUUUUGAAUGAAUGCUGAACAAAAUUUCUCUACACGAUGAACAUUUUUUUAUACACACUGAACAUUUUUUCAAUGUAUGGUGAACAAUAUUCAAAUACACAUAGAACUUUUUUUUAAAUACGAUGAACUCGUUUUGAAUGCAUGAUGAACAAAAUUUCUAUACACGAUGAAACAUUUUUUUAUACACACUGAACAUUUUUUCAAUGUAUGGUGAACAUUUUUCCUCAAUAUGGUGAACAAAAAUUUGAAAUUCGAAACUAUUUUUGAAACGUGAACAAAAUUCGAAAACAUGAACAAAAUUUGGAAUUUCAAAAAACAUUUUCUGAAAAGGCAAACGAAUUUCGAAAAAUCUGAACAUAUUUUGGAUAUUGAAAAUAGUUCAUCCAAUUCGAAAACAGUUCAUCGAAUUUAAAAAAGUUCACUGAUUUUCAAAAAAAGUUUGUUGAAUUUGAAAAAAAGUUCAUCAAUUUUGAAAAAAGUUCAUGGAAUUUGGUGAGAAAAGUUCAUCGAUUUUGCAAAAAGUUCACCAAAUAUGAAAAAAGUUCAUAAAAUUGAAAAAAAGUUCGUCGAUUUUGAAAAAGGCAGAAAAAGGAAAAAGAAAAAAGAAAAAGAAAAGGCAAAAAGAAAAAACAACAGAAAAAAAGAAAAAAGAAAAACUCGUUAGAAGUAAAGAAGAUAGAGGAAUUAGAUAAUCGUAGAAGGUGGUUUGGCUGUGUUGGUUAGCGCACUCUGCGCGAUUCCUUGUCACUUCGUUUUUUGCAGCAAGUCGGGCUCCCUGGUUUUUGUGGGCCGUGGGAGGCACGGCCUAGCAAGGAUUGCUGCCCCGCUCCUAAUUCAUCGAGUGGGUUUGUUUUGCUCUGUGCAGGGUUAUCUUAGUUUGUACCACAUUGGUUGUGGAGGAAAGAGUGUCAGGGGGGUACGAUCAAAAAAAAAAAAGAGUGUCAGGGGUGGCCGGGUAUAAGAUGGGAUAGCAGGCGAGCCGUUAGAGGCAUCUUUGCGCUUGGGGCAAUGACGCAGCUAGUGAGGUUAUACCGAGGCGCGUCAAUUGCUGGUUGAAAACUAUUUCCAAACCCCCUCUUUGGCCCUCCCGGGCCACUGAGAAUUUCUGAAAGGGCUCCUUUCCUUCGGGGAGGGUAAAGCCCUACAAAUAUGAAGAUGAAAGUAUUUGUUCAGUUUUUUAGCUACAUGGCCUAAGACCAGAGGGAGUACUAGUUUCUUCUCAAACGGGACUUAGUACUGGUUGUUUCUCUCAGAUCAGCGGAUACUGAAGAUAAUGAAAUUUUCAAUGACUUACAGCACGAUUGAUGCUGCCGUUCCACAGAAAUGUAAGCAGAAAUGCACAAACGUAAGCUAGUACGGCUACAGAUGAAGCUGCCGCGGAUCUGUGUACCAUUAGUAACAUCAGUAGCACAAAUGCAAAGCCUCAUCACCGAAAUACUAUAUUGAUUCUGAUGUUACUAAAGCCUGAUCACCGUCGAUGUGCAUGUAGGAUUAGUAGACACCUGUAAGAACAAGAUUACCACACCACCCGUCCUUGUCUCGCCCGUCUGGUUGUGGGUUGUACUAAUGUACUGUUCGGAGACACACGUGGUUUGUUCGCUCUUUGCUGUCAAAAGAGUGAGUAAUGAGAGUUGGGGAACAGGUGAUGCAACUGCCGGAUGAGAAAGCACAUAUCAUCAGUACAGGCCACUGCCAUGGCCUUCUUCUCCCUCUUGCUCCUCCUCCUCCUGCUUCUCGCCGCCCAUGGCGUGUCCCUUUUGAAAGUACUUCACAGACGAUACAGCGCUGAACAACACUCGGACGAUGGCUAAUCCAGCCGUUGGUUGUUGUUUCAGCCUUGCUCAUGGAUGGCGUGAUACGUAUGUCGUGCAUGUAUCGUUUGCUAAAUGUCGUCUAUGUAGCAGUGCUCUGUCCCCUUCACGCGGAGCGACUUCCCACCGGGCCUCGUCUUUGGCGCCACCACCUCCGCAUGCCAGGUGACUGAAUAUUGGUUUGGAUUUAUCAGCUACUCCCUGUCUCCCUCCGUCCUAGACUCCUAGUACAAUAUAAGAAUGUUCUACAAGCCACUAGUGUUAAAAAAAACGUUUUACAUUAUGAUAUCGAGGGAGUAGAAGGGAGUAGCAGCGAUCUCUUACAAAAGUCACUCUGUUUCUCCUGCCCUCAGUGCGCUGCUCUGGUUAAUUUGCUCUGUUUUUUAAUGCAGUACGAGGGCGCUGUUGCUGAGGAUGGCAAGAGCUCAAGCAUCUGAUCUGGGACAACUUCACUCACGCUGGUAAUCAACGAACUUGUCGGUUUCCGUCAGUUUUCAAAACAAAACAAAAAUCUGUUCUCUUCUGACGGGUACUCUAUGAGUUUAUACACUCAAAUUAGCCAAUAUUAGAGCAGGGUAUACACAAAUGAGAGAGUAUAUAAUCAGUUGGUAAGCAACACGUCUUUCUUUCCCAUUUCGCAAGGUAGCUAGGGCAAAGCCUUCUUUCCCUCUACCUCUGUCGGGGAUAUACCCCGCGGUGUAACCCGGCCGUAAGGUAUAACCUGCUGAAAUCUGAGAUGGGCUCUAGGCCCAUAUUGCAAUUUCUGAAAAAUCUCUAAGGGCCCAUGUGAGUUAUAUGGCACUAGGUGUGGUGGGAAGUUUAGUCCCACUCCGGGAAGUGGAAGGAGAGUUGGAGUGGUUUAUAAGGGUUUCUCUUCUACAUGCUAUUGGAGCUUGAGAAGAGAAGAGCCCUCGCGCACUCCUCCUCCGCCGCCCGCCUCGCCACGCCACGCCACGCCUCGUCACGACGCGCCGCGCCGCGGGUUGCGGGAUUGAGCCGAGCCGAGCUCACACCUACGCGCUUAUUUUUGCCAGUCACUAACGGAGAGUUUUCUGACAGCUGGGCCACGAUCUGAGACGUCGGAUCGUGGGGCUGUCACGGACUCGGACGUGGGUCGAGCCCACGUCUCUCCACGCGGCUGCGCCUAUAAGUAUGCGGUGUCUCCUAACCCUAGCCGCCACGAACAGAUCACAUCUGCUCACGCGCACGCCCACCGUCGUUCCUCUGCUGCUGCUGCCGCCGGUGACUCCAUCCCGUCCGCCACGUACACGGUCGACGGGAGAGCAGGUCUCCGAAACCACGCCCUUCUGGUUCCUGUACGGGGUGAGGGGCGAAUAGGUUUUUGAGCAGCGAUUACGCGACUGCUCGCUUCCGAUCGUCUACUUCCUCUACGUUCGCGUCGCCUUCGUCAUCACCAUGUCCACCGACGCCGACCGUGCCGCCGCCGAGAAAGCUGAAGCUGACAAGAAGGUCGCCGAGGACGCCGCUGCUGCCACCAAAGCCGCGGCCUCUGCGUGGCCUACUGGAGGGUAUAACUCGUUUAUCCCGCUCCUGAUUAUUUUCAUAUUAGCAGUACUAGCAGUAUGUGUAGAUUUGUCUACUGUUUGCUUAGUACGUGCAUGUUUAGAUCAGAGUGAGUACGUCAUCAACUUAGUCAAUGCCAUGCUAGUGAUUUACUCAUGGAUUAAUUUAAUCGAGAAAUUGCCUAUUUACUCAACAAUCCAAAAACCUAUCAUGUGUAGGAAUUUCUCGGCAAGUGGCUUUGCCGCUGCACUGAAACCGGAUAAGUUUACCGGUACAUACUUCAAGCGUUGGCAGACUAAGACCACGUUAUGGCUCACGGCUAUGAACGUGUUCUGGGUCACCGGUGUCUCCACGGGAACGAUUGCUCCUGAACAGGAGAAGGCGUUCAAGGAGGCUACCGUUGUGUUUCUCGGAGCAGUUCUUAGCGUGAUCGGAGAUAAACUGGUCGACGCAUAUUUACAUGUGCAUGUCGCCAAGGACUUGUGGGAGGCGCUCGAAUCUAAAUUCGGGGCCGCCGAUGCAGGGAGCGAGAUGUAUAUUAUAGAGCAGUUCCACGAUUACAAGAUGGUUGAAAACCGUCCUGUAUUGGAGCAGGCUCAUGAGAUAAUAUGCAUUGUUAAGGAACUUGAGCUUCUCAAGUGCGAGUUACCAGGCAAGUUUGUCGCGGGCUGCAUAAUCGCUAAGCUCCCUAAUUCCUGGAGGAACUUUGCCACCACUCUGAAACAUCAGAGGCGUGAAUUCUCUGUGGAGGAUGUCAUUGGCCAUCUGAGUGUUGAGCAGAAUUCGAGGGCAAAAGACUCGCACGGAAAAGGGGCCGAAGGGACUUCUGUUGCCAACAUGGUGAACCAGAAGAACUUCAACUCCCACAAGCCCAAGGGAAAGAACGGUGUCCAACACAAUACCGACUUUAAGAAGAAGGGUAAGAAGACCUUCAAGAAGAACAAGAAGGACGAGGGCUGCUUUACUUGUGGUUCGGUUGAACAAUGGGCCAACAAGUGCCCAAACAAGUACAAGAAGUCAGGACAGGACUCCAAGUCUGUCAACAUGAUUGUGGGCAACAAUGAGAAUGGUGCAUCUGGGUACGGUAAUUUAUUUACUGUUUUUUCAGUGUUUCAACCCAACGAUUGGUGGGUGGACACAGGUGCAGGUGUUCAUGUGUGUGCUGACAUUUCAUUGUUCACUUCUUACCAGGUCACAGGUCACGGGUCCGUAUUGAUGGGGAAUGGCGCGAGUGCUUCUGUUCAUGGUGUUGGCACGGUCGAUCUGAAGUUUACUUCGGGAAGGAUCGUGCAGCUGAAGAACGUGCAGCAUGUCCCCGCCAUCAAGAAGAACCUCGUUAGUGGCUCCCUUCUAUGUAGAGAAGGGUUUAAGUUGGUUUUCGAGUCUAAUAAAUUAGUUGUUACAAAAUAUGGACUCUUUGUUGGAAAAGGUUAUGAGAGCGGAGGGAUGUUCCGCCUUUCCCUCGCAGAUUUUUGUAAUAAAGUCGUGAACCAUAGUCAUGUCCUGAAUAAAGUUCCGACAAAGGAUAGUGAGAUCACUCCCUAUUAGAAAUGGGCAAAGAGAAGGACGACACUCUCGUACUUGCGCACUUGGGGCUGUUUGGCGAAAGUCAACGUGCCGAUCCCCAAAAAGCGUAAGCUUGGACAUAAGACCGUGGACUGCAUUAAUUUGGGCUACGCUAAGAACAGCGUUGGCUAUAGAUUUCUAGUAGUGAAAUCUGAGGUACUUGACCAGAAGAUCGGUACAAUUAUGGAGUCUAAGGAUGCUACAUUCUUUGAGGAUAUUUUUCCUAUGAGAGAUAUGCAAAGCACUUCUAGACAGGAAUCUGAGGAGACUCCUGAACCUGCCAUCCCUAUGGAAUAUUAUGAACAAACACAUGAUGAAAAUCCCGAGGAGGAUGACGAGGAAACCCUUGGUAGGGGCAAGAGACAAAGGACUGCAAAGACCUUUGGUGAUGAUUUCUUCGUGUACCUCGUGGAUGAUACUCCCACUUCUAUUUCAGAAGCGUAUGCCUCUCCAGAAGCUGACUACUGGAAGGAUGCGGUCCGUAGCGAGAUGGAUUCCAUCAUGGCUAACGGGACAUGGGAGAUCACUGACCGUCCCUAUGGUUGCAAACCACUGGGAUGUAAGUGGGUGUUCAAAAAGAAGCUUAGGCCCGAUGGUACGAUUGAAAAGUACAAGGCUAGGCUUAUGGCCAAGGGCUAUGACCAGCAAGAAGAGGAAGAUUUCUUUGAUACUUAUUCACCUGUGGCUAGACUGACCACCAUUCGAGUAUUACUCUCGUUGGCGGCCUCACAUGGUCUUCUCGUCCAUCAGAUGGAUGUUAAGACGGCUUUUCUAAAUGGAGAGCUAAAGGAGGAAAUCUACAUGCAACAGCCUGAUGGCUUUGUGAUAGAUGGUCAGGAAAGAAAGGUGUGUAGGUUGAUAAAAUCUUUAUAUGGCCUGAAACAAGCACCUAAGCAAUGGCAUGAUAAGUUUAAUACAACUCUGACAUCUGUUGGUUUCGUAGUUAAUGAGGCUGACAAAUGUGUAUAGUAUCGCCAUGGUGGGGGCGAAGGAGUUAUACUGUGCUUGUAUGUUGAUGACAUACUGAUAUUCGGAACAAACCUCAAAGUCAUUGAGGAGGUCAAAUCGUUUCUAUCUCAGAACUUUGAGAUGAAAGACCUUGGUGUGGCUGAUGUUAUCUUGAACAUCAAGCUACUGAGAGAUAAUGAGGGUGGGAUCACACUUCUGCAAUCCCAUUACGUUGAGAAGGUGUUGAGUCGCUUUGGAUAUUCGGACUGCACACCAUCUCAAACACCAUAUGAUCCUAGCGUAUUGAUUCGAAAGUCCAAAGGCAUGGCUAAAGAUCAAUUGAGAUACUCUCAAAUCAUUGGUUCACUGAUGUACCUAGCGAGCGCAACGAGGCCUGACAUCGCGUUUGCUGUGAGCAAACUGAGCCGGUUUGUUUCCAAACCGGGUGAUGUACAUUGGCAUGCUGUUGAGAGAGUUAUGCGCUAUCUGAAAGGUACUAUGAACUAUGGACUUCACUAUACCGGAUACCCGUCGGUACUUGAAGGGUAUAGUGAUGCGAAUUGGAUCUCUGAUGCUGAUGAGAUGAAGGCCACAACUGGGUAUAUGUUUACUCUUGGAGGUGGCGCUAUUUCCUAGAAGUCUUGCAAGCAAACUAUCUUAACGAGAUCGACAAUGGAAGCAGAAUUAACGGCAUUAGACACAUCUGGUGUUGAAGCGAGAUGGCUUCGAGAUCUUUUGAUGGACUUGCCAUUGGUUGAUAAACCGGUUCCGGCUAUCCUUAUGAACUGUGACAAUCAGACUGUCAUCACCAAGGUGAAGAGUUCAAAGGACAACAUGAAGUCCACCAAACACAUAAGAAUGAGAUUAAAAGCUGUCAGAAAAUUAAGAAACUCCGGAGUGAUAGCGUUGGACUAUGUCCAUACGGCUAAGAAUCUGGCAGAUCCCUUUACAAAAGGGCUAUCACGUGUUGUGAUAGAUAAUGCAUCGAGGGAGAUGGGUAUGAGACCCACAUGAGUUGCCAUGGUGGUAACCCAACCUAUGUGAUCGGAGAUCCCGUGAACUAGGACCUGGGAAAACAAGCCAGUGGUGAACUGAGGAGAGUAACUAUACUAACCCACUCCGUUGGAGAUGCAAUACUCUCGAUACUGUAUGGUAGGANNNNNNNNNNCCGGAUACCCGUCGGUACUUGAAGGGUAUAGUGAUGCGAAUUGGAUCUCUGAUGCUGAUGAGAUGAAGGCCACAACUGGGUAUAUGUUUACUCUUGGAGGUGGCGCUGUUUCCUGGAAGUCUUGCAAGCAAACGAUCUUAACGAGAUCGACAAUGGAAGCAGAAUUAACGGCAUUAGACACAUCUGGUGUUGAAGCGAGAUGGCUUCGAGAUCUUUUGAUGGACUUGCCAUUGGUUGAUAAACCGGUUCCGGCUAUCCUUAUGAACUGUGACAAUCAGACUGUCAUCACCAAGGUGAAGAGUUCAAAGGACAAUAUGAAGUCCACCAAACACAUAAGAAUGAGAUUAAAAGCUGUCAGAAAAUUAAGAAACUCCGGAGUGAUAGCAUUGGACUAUGUCCAUACGGCUAAGAAUCUGGCAGAUCCCUUUACAAAAGGGCUAUCACGUGUUGUGAUAGAUAAUGCAUCGAGGGAGAUGGGUAUGAGACCCACAUGAGUUGCCAUGGUGGUAACCCAACCUAUAUGAUCGGAGAUCCCGUGAACUAGGACCUGGGAAAACAAGCCAGUGGUGAACUGAGGAGAGUAACUAUACUAACCCACUCCGUUGGAGAUGCAAUACUCUCGAUACUGUAUGGUAGGAUGACUACGGUCUCAAUGUGUUCCAAAGCUUAUAAAAGCAAGAUGCUAUCCUACAGAGCGAUCUUUGGAGGAACACACCUAUAUGAGCCCGACUGCUGGUCACAGUCUAUGAGAUUGGGGUGAUCUCUAGUAAGCUCAUGAAUAGGCCAGGAGUGUGACUUAUAUGCUCCACCCGAGGGGUCAGCCUUCGGCAGCCUAGUACUAGUAAGACAUGUAGUGAAACUUCUUUACGCCAAACUGACAAUUCAAGGCAUAGUCCAUUGUUCAGUUGUGAAGGAGUGUAGCCACUUGUUCUAGGUGAAGUUCAACCUUAACAGGUCUUUACUGAAACAUUGGUAUAUCGAAACAGCAAUUGGAACAGAGGACACAAUGGGCCCUCGAGAUCUGGUGGGGGAUUGCUGAAAUCUGAGAUGGGCUCUAGGCCCAUAUUGCAAUUUCUGAAAAAUCUCUAAGGGCCCAUGUGGGUUAUAUGGCACUAGGUGUGGUGGGAAGUUUAGUCCCACCCCGGAAGUGGAAGGAGAGUUGGAGUGGUUUAUAAGGGUUUCUCUUCUACAUGCUAUUGGAGCUUGAGAAGAGAAGAGGCCCUCGCGCACUCCUCCUCCGCCGCCCGCCUCGCCACGCCACGCCUCGUCACGACGCGCCGCGGGUUGCGGGAUUGAGCCGAGCCGAGCUCACACCUACGCGCUUAUUUUUGCCAGUCACUAACGGAGAGUUUUCUGACAGCUGGGCCACGAUCUGAGACGUCGGAUCGUGGACUGUCACGGACUCGGACGUGGGUCGAGCCCACGUCUCUCCACGCGGCUGCGCCUAUAAGUAUGCGGUGUCUCCUAACCCUAGCCGCCACGAACAGAUCACAUCUACUCACGCGCACGCCCACCGUCGUUCCUUUGCUGAUGCUGCCGCCGGUGACUCCAUCUCGUCCGCCACGUACACGGUCAAUGGGAGAGCAGGUCUCCGAAACCACGCCCUUCUGGUUCCUGUACGGGGUGAGGGGCGAAUAGGUUUUUGGGCAGCGAUUACGCGACUGCUCGCUUCCGAUCGUCUACUUCCUCUACGUCUGCGUCGCCUUCAUCAUCACCAUGUCCACCGACGCCGACCGUGCCGCCGCCGAGAAAGCUGAAGCCGACAAGAAGGUCGCCGAGGACGCCGCUGCUGCCACCAAAGCCGCGGCCUCUGCGUGGCCUACUGGAGGGUAUAACUCGUUUAUCCCGCUCCUGAUUAUUUUCAUAUUAGCAGUACUAGCAGUAUGUGUAGAUUUGUCUACUGUUUGCUUAGUACGUGCAUGUUUAGAUCAGAGUCAGUACGUCAUCAACUUAGUCAAUGCCAUGCUAGUGAUUUACUCAUGGAUUAAUUUAAUCGAGAAAUUUCCUAUUUACUCAACAAUCCAAAAACCUAUUAUGUGUAGGAAUUUCUCGGCAAGUGGUUUUGCCGCUGCACUGAAACCGGAUAAGUUUACCGGUACAUACUUCAAGCGUUGGCAUGGCUAAAGAUCAAUUGAGAUACUCUCAAACACCAUAUUUGGAUAUUUGGAUAUUCGGACUGCACACCAUCUCAAACACCAUAUGAUCCUAGCGUAUUGAUUCGAAAGUCCAAAGGCAUGGCUAAAGAUCAAUUGAGAUACUCUCAAAUCAUUGGUUCACUGAUGUACCUAGCGAGCGCAACGAGGCCUGACAUCGCGUUUGCUGUGAGCAAACUGAGCCGGUUUGUUUCCAAACCGGGUGAUGUACAUUGGCAUGCUGUUGAGAGAGUUAUGCGCUAUCUGAAAGGUACUAUGAACUAUGGACUUCACUAUACCGGAUACCCGUCGGUACUUGAAGGGUAUAGUGAUGCGAAUUGGAUCUCUGAUGCUGAUGAGAUGAAGGCCACAACUGGGUAUAUGUUUACUCUUGGAGGUGGCGCUGUUUCCUGGAAGUCUUGCAAGCAAACGAUCUUAACGAGAUCGACAAUGGAAGCAGAAUUAAUGGCAUUAGACACAUCUGGUGUUGAAGCGAGAUGGCUUCGAGAUCUUUUGAUGGACUUGCCAUUGGUUGAUAAACCGGUUCCGGCUAUCCUUAUGAACUGUGACAAUCAGACUGUCAUCACCAAGGUGAAGAGUUCAAAGGACAACAUGAAGUCCACCAAACACAUAAGAAUGAGAUUAAAAGCUGUCAGAAAAUUAAGAAACUCCGGAGUGAUAGCGUUGGACUAUGUCCAUACGGCUAAGAAUCUGGCAGAUCCCUUUACAAAAGGGCUAUCACGUGUUGUGAUAGAUAAUGCAUCGAGGGAGAUGGGUAUGAGACCCACAUGAGUUGCCAUGGUGGUAACCCAACCUAUGUGAUCGGAGAUCCCGUGAACUAGGACCUGGGAAAACAAGCCAGUGGUGAACUGAGGAGAGUAACUAUACUAACCCACUCCGUUGGAGAUGCAAUACUCUCGAUACUGUAUGGUAGGACGACUACGGUCUCAAUGUGUUCCAAAGCUUAUAAAAGCAAGAUGCUAUCCUACAGAGCGAUCUUUGGAGGAACACACCUAUAUGAGCCCGACUGCUGGUCACAGUCUAUGAGAUUGGGGUGAUCUCUAGUAAGCUCAUGAAUAGGCCAGGAGUGUGACUUAUAUGCUCCACCCGAGGGGUCAGCCUUCGGCAGCCUAGUACUAGUAAGACAUGUAGUGAAACUUCUUUACGCCAAACUGACAAUUCAAGGCAUAGUCCAUUGUUCAGUUGUGAAGGAGUGUAGCCACUUGUUCUAGGUGAAGUUCAACCUUAGCAGGUCUUUACUGAAACACUGGUAUACCGAAACAGCAAUUGGAACAGAGGACACAAUGGGCCCUCGAGAUCUGGUGGGGGAUUGCUGAAAUCUGAGAUGGGCUCUAGGCCCAUAUUGCAAUUUCUGAAAAAUCUCUAAGGGCCCAUGUGGGUUAUAUGGCACUAGGUGUGGUGGGAAGUUUAGUCCCACCCCGGAAGUGGAAGGAGAGUUGGAGUGGUUUAUAAGGGUUUCUCUUCUACAUGCUAUUGGAGCUUGAGAAGAGAAGAGGCCCUCGCGCACUCCUCCUCCGCCGCCCGCCUCGCCACGCCACGCCUCGUCACGACGCGCCGCGGGUUGCGGGAUUGAGCCGAGCCGAGCUCACACCUACGCGCUUAUUUUUGCCAGUCACUAACGGAGAGUUUUCUGACAGCUGGGCCACGAUCUGAGACGUCGGAUCGUGGACUGUCACGGACUCGGACGUGGGUCGAGCCCACGUCUCUCCACGCGGCUGCGCCUAUAAGUAUGCGGUGUCUCCUAACCCUAGCUGCCACGAACAGAUCACAUCUGCUCACGCGCACGCCCACCGUCGUUCCUUUGCUGCUGCUGCCGCCGGUGACUCCAUCCCGUCCGCCACGUACACGGUCGACGGGAGAGCAGGUCUCCGAAACCACGCCCUUCUGGUUCCUGUACGGGGUGAGGGGCGAAUAGGUUUUUGGGCAGCGAUUACGCGACUGCUCGCUUCCGAUCGUCUACUUCCUCUACGUCCGCGUCGCCUUCAUCGUCACCAUGUCCACCGACGCCGACCGUGCCGCCGCCGAGAAAGCUGAAGCCGACAAGAAGGUCGCCGAGGACGCCGCUGCUGCCACCAAAGCCGCGGCCUCUGCGUGGCCUACUGGAGGGUAUAACUCGUUUAUCCCGCUCCUGAUUAUUUUCAUAUUAGCAGUACUAGCAGUAUGUGUAGAUUUGUCUACUGUUUGCUUAGUACGUGCAUGUUUAGAUCAGAGUCAGUACAUCAUCAACUUAGUCAAUGCCAUGCUAGUGAUUUACUCAUGGAUUAAUUUAAUCGAGAAAUUGCCUAUUUACUCAACAAUCCAAAAACCUAUUAUGUGUAGGAAUUUCUCGGCAAGUGGUUUUGCCGCUGCACUGAAACCGGAUAAGUUUACCGGUACAUACUUCAAGCGUUGGCAGACUAAGACCACGUUAUGGCUCACGGCUAUGAACGUGUUCUGGGUCACCGGUGUCUCCACGGGAACGAUUGCUCCUGAACAGGAGAAGGCGUUCAAGGAGGCUACCGUUGUGUUUCUCGGAGCAGUUCUUAGCGUGAUCGGAGAUAAACUGGUCGACGCAUAUUUACAUGUGCAUGUCGCCAAGGACUUGUGGGAGGCGCUCGAAUCUAAAUUCGGGGCCGCCGAUGCAGGGAGCGAGAUGUAUAUUAUAGAGCAGUUCCACGAUUACAAGAUGGUUGAAAACCGUCCUGUAUUGGAGCAGGCUCAUGCGAUAAUAUGCAUUGUUAAGGAACUUGAGCUUCUCAAGUGCGAGUUACCGGGCAAGUUUGUCGCGGGCUGCAUAAUCGCUAAGCUCCCUAAUUCCUGGAGGAACUUUGCCACCACUCUGAAACAUCAGAGGCGUGAAUUCUCUGUGGAGGAUGUCAUUGGCCAUCUGAGUGUUGAGCAGAAUUCGAGGGCAAAAGACUCGCACGGAAAAGGGGCCGAAGGGACUUCUGUUGCCAACAUGGUGAACCAGAAGAACUUCAACUCCCACAAGCCCAAGGGAAAGAACGGUGUCCAACACAAUACCGACUUUAAGAAGAAGGGUAAGAAGACCUUCAAGAAGAACAAGAAGGACGAGGGCUGCUUUACUUGUGGUUCGGUUGAACAUUGGGCCAACAAGUGCCCAAACAAGUACAAGAAGUCAGGACAGGACUCCAAGUCUGUCAACAUGAUUGUGGGCAACAAUGAGACUGGUGCAUCUGGGUACGGUAAUUUAUUUACUGUUUUUUCAGUGUUUCAACCUAACGAUUGGUGGGUGGACACAGGUGCAGGUGUUCAUGUGUGUGCUGACAUUUCAUUGUUCACUUCUUACCAGGUCACAGGUCACGGGUCCGUAUUGAUGGGGAAUGGCGCGAGUGCUUCUGUUCAUGGUGUUGGCACGGUCGAUCUGAAGUUUACUUCGGGAAGGAUCGUGCAGCUGAAGAACGUGCAGCAUGUCCCCGCCAUCAAGAAGAACCUCGUUAGUGGCUCCCUUCUAUGUAGAGAAGGGUUUAAGUUGGUUUUCGAGUCUAAUAAAUUAGUUGUUACAAAAUAUGGACUCUUUGUUGGAAAAGGUUAUGAGAGCGGAGGGAUGUUCCGCCUUUCCCUCGCAGAUUUUUGUAAUAAAGUCGUGAACCAUAUUCAUUCGAAUGUUAAUGAAUCUGAAGUUUGGCAUUCACGUCUUUGUCACAUUAGUUUUGGUGUUAUGACGCGGCUAGCCAAGUUGGAUUUAAUCCCGAGUUUCACUUUAGCCAAAGGUUCUCAGUGCCUUUCAUGUGUGCAAGCUAAGCAACCUCGCAAGCCUCAUAAGGCCGCGGAGGAGAGACACCUGGCACCAUUAGAACUCAUACAUUCUGAUCUUUGCGAGAUGAAUGGUGUGUUGACUAAAGGUGGAAAGAGAUACUUCAUGACAUUGAUAGAUGAUUCCACUAGAUAUUGCUAUGUGUAUCUGUUAAAUACUAAAGAUGAGGCUCUACACUACUUUAAAAUCUAUAAGGCAGAAGUUGAAAAUCAACUUGAAAAGAAAAUUAAACGAGUCCGGUCAGAUCGUGGUGGAGAGUACUUCUCGAGUGAGUUUGAUUCCUUCUGUGCGGAACACGACAUUAUUCAUGAGAGGACGCCUCCCUAUUCACCCCAGUCAAACGGGGUUGCCGAGCGGAAAAACCGUACUCUAACUGAUUUGGUUAACGCCAUGUUAGAUACAUCGGGUUUAUCCAAGGCAUGGUGGGGGGAGGCUAUAUUGACGGCAUGUCAUGUCCUGAAUAAAGUUCCGACAAAGGAUACUGAGAUCACUCCCUAUGAGAAAUGGGCAAAGAGAAGGACGACACUCUCGUACUUGCGCACUUGGGGCUGUUUGGCGAAAGUCAACGUGCCGAUCCCCAAAAAGCGUAAGCUUGGACAUAAGACCGUGGACUGCAUUAAUUUGGGCUACGCUAAGAACAGCGUUGGCUAUAGAUUUCUAGUAGUGAAAUCUGAGGUACCUGACCAGAAGAUCGGUACAAUUAUGGAGUCUAAGGAUGCUACAUUCUUUGAGGAUAUUUUUCCUAUGAGAGAUAUGCAAAGCACUUCUAGACAGGAAUCUGAGGAGACUCCUGAACCUGCCAUCCCUAUGGAAUAUUAUGAACAAACACAUGAUGAAAAUCCCGAGGAGGAUGACGAGGAAACCCUUGGUAGGGGCAAGAGACAAAGGACUGCAAAGACCUUUGGUGAUGAUUUCUUCGUGUACCUCGUGGAUGAUACUCCCACUUCUAUUUCAGAAGCGUAUGCCUCUCCAGAAGCUGACUACUGGAAGGAUGCGGUCCGUAGCGAGAUGGAUUCCAUCAUGGCUAAAGGGACAUGGGAGAUCACUGACCGUCCCUAUGGUUGCAAACCACUGGGAUGUAAGUGGGUGUUCAAAAAGAAGCUUAGGCCCGAUGGUACGAUUGAAAAGUACAAGGCUAGGCUUGUGGCCAAGGGCUAUGACCAGCAAGAAGAGGAAGAUUUCUUUGAUACUUAUUCACCUGUGGCUAGACUGACCACCAUUCGAGUAUUACUCUCGUUGGCGGCCUCACAUGGUCUUCUCGUCCAUCAGAUGGAUGUUAAGACGGCUUUUCUAAAUGGAGAGCUAAAGGAGGAAAUCUACAUGCAACAGCCUGAUGGCUUUGUGAUAGAUGGUCAGGAAAGAAAGGUGUGUAGGUUGAUAAAAUCUUUAUAUGGCCUGAAACAAGCACCUAAGCAAUGGCAUGAUAAGUUUAAUACAACUCUGACAUCUGUUGGUUUCGUUGUUAAUGAGGCUGACAAAUGUGUAUACUAUCGCCAUGGUGGGGGCGAAGGAGUUAUACUGUGCUUGUAUGUUGAUGACAUACUGAUAUUCGGAACAAACCUCAAAGUCAUUGAGGAGGUCAAAUCGUUUCUAUCUCAGAACUUUGAGAUGAAAGACCUUGGUGUGGCUGAUGUUAUCUUGAACAUCAAGCUACUGAGAGAUACUGAGGGUGGGAUCACACUUCUGCAAUCCCAUUACGUUGAGAAGGUGUUGAGUCGUUUUGGAUAUUCGGACUGCACACCAUCUCAAACACCAUAUGAUCCUAGCGUGUUGAUUCGAAAGUCCAAAGGCAUGGCUAAAGAUCAAUUGAGAUACUCUCAAAUCAUUGGUUCACUGAUGUACCUAGCGAGCGCAACGAGGCCUGACAUCGCGUUUGCUGUGAGCAAACUGAGCCGGUUUGUUUCCAAACCGGGUGAUGUACAUUGGCAUGCUGUUGAGAGAGUUAUGCGCUAUCUGAAAGGUACUAUGAACUAUGGACUUCACUAUACCGGAUACCCGUCGGUACUUGAAGGGUAUAGUGAUGCGAAUUGGAUCUCUGAUGCUGAUGAGAUGAAGGCCACAACUGGGUAUAUGUUUACUCUUGGAGGUGGCGCUGUUUCCUGGAAGUCUUGCAAGCAAACGAUCUUAACGAGAUCGACAAUGGAAGCAGAAUUAACGGCAUUAGACACAUCUGGUGUUGAAGCGAGAUGGCUUCGAGAUCUUUUGAUGGACUUGCCAUUGGUUGAUAAACCGGUUCCGGCUAUCCUUAUGAACUGUGACAAUCAAACUGUCAUCACCAAGGUGAAGAGUUCAAAGGACAACAUGAAGUCCACCAAACACAUAAGAAUGAGAUUAAACGCUGUUAGAAAAUUAAGAAACUCCGGAGUGAUAGCGUUGGACUAUGUCCAUACGGCUAAGAAUCUGGCAGAUCCCUUUACAAAAGGGCUAUCACGUGUUGUGAUAGAUAAUGCAUCGAGGGAGAUGGGUAUGAGACCCACAUGAGUUGCCAUGGUGGUAACCCAACCUAUAUGAUCGGAGAUCCCGUGAACUAGGACCUGGGAAAACAAGCCAGUGGUGAACUGAGGAGAGUAACUAUACUAACCCACUCCGUUGGAGAUGCAAUACUCUCGAUACUGUAUGGUAGGAUGACUACGGUCUCAAUGUGUUCCAAAGCUUAUAAAAGCAAGAUGCUAUCCUACAGAGCGAUCUUUGGAGGAACACACCUAUAUGAGCCCGACUGCUGGUCACAGUCUAUGAGAUUGGGUGAUCUCUAGUAAGCUCAUGAAUAGGCCAGGAGUGUGACUUAUAUGCUCCACCCGAGGGGUCAGCCUUCGGCAGCCUAGUACUAGUAAGACAUGUAGUGAAACUUCUUUACGCCAAACUGACAAUUCAAGGCAUAGUCCAUUGUUCAGUUGUGAAGGAGUGUAGCCACUUGUUCUAGGUGAAGUUCAACCUUAACAGGUCUUUACUGAAACACUGGUAUAUUGAAACAGCAAUUGGAACAGAGGACACAAUGGGCCCUCGAGAUCUGGUGGGGGAUUGCUGAAAUCUGAGAUGGGCUCUAGGCCCAUAUUGCAAUUUCUGAAAAAUCUCUAAGGGCCCAUGUGGGUUAUAUGGCACUAGGUGUGGUGGGAAGUUUAGUCCCACCCCGGAAGUGGAAGGAGAGUUGGAGUGGUUUAUAAGGGUUUCUCUUCUACAUGCUAUUGGAGCUUGAGAAGAGAAGAGCCCUCGCGCACUCCUCCUCCGCCGCCCGCCUCGCCACGCCACGCCACGCCUCGUCACGACGCGCCGCGGGUUGCGGGAUUGAGCCGAGCCGAGCUCACACCUACGCGCUUAUUUUUGCCAGUCACUAACGGAGAGUUUUCUGACAGCUGGGCCACGAUCUGAGACGUCGGAUCGUGGGGCUGUCACGGACUCGGACGUGGGUCGAGCCCACGUCUCUCCACGCGGCUGCGCCUAUAAGUAUGCGGUGUCUCCUAACCCUAGCCGCCACGAACAGAUCACAUCUGCUCACGCGCACGCCCACCGUCGUUCCUCUGCUGCUGCUGCCGCCGGUGACUCCAUCCCGUCCGCCACGUACACGGUCGACGGGAGAGCAGGUCUCCGAAACCACGCCCUUCUGGUUCCUGUACGGGGUGAGGGGCGAAUAGGUUUUUGGGCAGCGAUUACGCGACUGCUCGCUUCCGAUCGUCUACUUCCUCUACGUCCGCGUCGCCUUCGUCAUCACCAUGUCCACCGACGCCGACCGUGCCGCCGCCGAGAAAGCUGAAGCUGACAAGAAGGUCGCCGAGGACGCCGCUGCUGCCACCAAAGCCGCGGCCUCUGCGUGGCCUACUGGAGGGUAUAACUCGUUUAUCCCGCUCUUGAUUAUUUUCAUAUUAGCAGUACUAGCAGUAUGUGUAGAUUUGUCUACUGUUUGCUUAGUACGUGCAUGUUUAGAUCAGAGUGAGUACGUCAUCAACUUAGUCAAUGCCAUGCUAGUGAUUUACUCAUGGAUUAAUUUAAUCGAGAAAUUGCCUAUUUACUCAACAUAACCCGGCCGGACUUGACGAUUCACUAAUGACCCACCCUAACUGGACGACGCACUAAGUGGCCCGCCCAAUCCUGGCGACUUAUGGGUGACCUGGCAAGCGGAUCAGAGGAGCGACAAGACCCGGGGGCCCAGGAGGCUCAAGGCCCAGAAGGCCGGCUUACGUUAUGAUAGGCCGGCUUAAGAGGAAAGGCGUAAGGAGUAUCUCCCUUACAAGGAAUCAAGACCCGGACUUGUAUCCGGCUUGUAGUACAAGAUAGGCUAGUCCUACUAGGACUCCACAUGUAACCCGCCCCUCUAACUUAUAUAAGGAGGGGAGGGCUCCCCAAAGAGGAAAAAAGCAACAAGAAAUAAUAUCUAGGGCUAGACACAAAGGGGGAGCCGGCUUACGGCGACUCUUCUCAUGAGCAUAAUGAGACCUGGCCACAAACAACAUGUAGGGUUGUUACCGGAUGAUGUUUCCCGGGGCCCGAAGCUGUCUAAAUCCUUGUCUUGCGUGUUGCGUUACUCGUCCCGAUCAACCCCUCGCUACCACAUAGAUGCGUUGGCCUCGCGAUUAAGUCUUGACACUAAGGACAUCUGACGUGUUGAUUCCACGACAACCUUCAUUGUUGAUCCCGUGGAUUCGCCUCUCCUCUGCCUACUGCUUCGGUGGUCGGCGGGGGCAGAGGGAUCUUGAUGUCUCGCUUUCGGCUAGUAGAUAGGUUAUGGUUUUAGCCCUUGCAGGGCGACACUUGAACAUAUGGUGUCUCUUAUUCUUCGAGUCGGUCAUCGGGCUUUGAUCUUUCUCAAGUUUGUUAGUCGAAACGGAUUAGACGGAGCUUCGGUGUGGAUUUCUGUCAGCUCCUCGGGACAACGAGGUUAGGGUUACUUGUCAUGCAUAUACGGAGGCAAGAUUUGUAGUCAGGUUCCCUAGAUCGAUUCAAGGGUUCAACGACGACGACUGUGGCUCCGAGCUGCUGGUCCUAGGGCCACAUGCAUAAAGGCUUCCUGGCUGUCAUCGACAUGGUCAGUCCAGCUCCGGUAUGAGAGGGCCAUUGAGGCGCGUCAGCGGCAAGGUGAUCCAGGAAUAUUGAUGCACUUUUUUUUUAUUAUAUUUGAUGAAGUGCUUUAUAUUUCUUGUAAACUUUUAUAAUAAUAAUAGAUCCUAAUCUAUUUUUUGCGGCAAAAAAAGGGUUAGCUUCGGCUAAACUGGCCCUCCCCGCGACCACGUCGUCCCCGCGGGCGAUCGGUCGCGCCUCGCCACCCCUCCCAGCGAGCGUUCCCCUUCUCCUCCUCCUCCCCGCCGCCGUCACUGGCGCGCGUCUCGGGCCUGGCCCGGGCGACGCUGGCGGCGGCGGCCCCUCGGCCUUUCCCCUCCCAGGGUUCUUCCGGCGCGGGACGGGGCGACUCCNNNNNNNNNNNNNNNNNNNNNNNNNNNNNNNNNNNNNNNNNNNNNNNNNNNNNNNNNNNNNNNNNNNNNNNNNNNNNNNNNNNNNNNNNNNNNNNNNNNNNNNNNNNNNNNNNNNNNNNNNNNNNNNNNNNNNNNNNNNNNNNNNNNNNNNNNNNNNNNNNNNNNNNNNNNNNNNNNNNNNNNNNNNNNNNNNNNNNNNNNNNNNNNNNNNNNNNNNNNNNNNNNNNNNNNNNNNNNNNNNNNNNNNNNNNNNNNNNNNNNNNNNNNNNNNNNNNNNNNNNNNNNNNNNNNNNNNNGUCGUUGACGACGGGGUAGCGCGGUGGCGCGGGCUGGCGGCGCUCGCCCGACCCAGAUCUGGACCCUUCGGGUCCCAUCUGGGCCGGGGCGGCCCGGCAUCGGGCGUGGCGUCUGCGGGGCUCUCGGGCGACGGUGGUGAGGUGUCCGGCUGGUGGCGGGCGGCGGCUUCGGCUGCCGGCGUGCAGCAGCGCCGUGGCUAGGGCUUUGCUGUCCCGCUAUGGGCCCUGCCAGGCCCGGGUGGCCUGGUUUGCCCUGGCUGCGGCGCCCGGUCGGCAAUCCGCAUCGGUGCGGGAGGCAGAGGCCUCCUGCGCGAUGGCGGUGGAGGCGGUUCCCUCCCGUUCGGCUCUGGUGCUCCCGUCCGUGCCAUCUAGGUGCAUCUCGCCUCUGUUUGCUUGUCCUCGUGGUGGUGCUCGCAGCAAGACGGCGUGGAUGGGUCCAAGACUGUGGUGGCACGUGCUGGCGGGUGGCAAGACGGUGGUUUGGCUCCAUUCUAGUGGGUGCCGGGGCAUGGGGGUGCGGGAGAAAUCUCUGCCGGCUCUUCCGGCUCCGACGUGGUGACGCCGGUGGGUUCCGCCAUUCCUUCCUGAAGGGCGUCGGUGCUACCCAUCCCCCGUUCCCCUUUUGCGUGUCGGGGGAAACCCUAGGACUUGUCCGGACAGCAGCGUUAUUGGCGUCGCAUUCCUUCUUGGAGGGCUCUUACAAAAUUCACUCUGUUUCUUCCGCCCCCAGUGCCCUGCUCUGGUUAAUUUGAUCUGUUAUUUAAUGCAGUAGGAGGGCGCUGUUGCGGAGGAUGGCAAGAGCCCAAGCAUCUGAUCUGGGACAACUUCACUCACGCAGGUAAUCAACGAACUUGUCGGUCUCCGUCAGUUUUCAAAACAAAACACAAAUAUGUUCGCUUCUGAUGGGUACUUUGUGAUUUUAUACACUCAAAUUAGCCAAUAUUAGAGCAGGGUAUACACAAAUGAGAGAGUAUAUAAUCAGUUGGUAAGCAACAUGUCUUUCUAUCCAUUUCGCAAGGUAGCUAGGGCAAAGCCUUCCUUCCCUCUAUCUCCAUUGUUGAUCCUGUGGAUUCGCCUCUCCUCUGCCCACCGCUUCGGUGGUCGGCGGGGGCAGAGGGAUCUUGAUGUCUCGCUUUCGGCUAGUAGAUAGGUUAUGGUUUUAGCCCUUGCAGGGCGACACUUGAACAUAUGGUGUCUCUUAUUCUUCGAGUCAGUCAUCGGGCUUCGAUCUUCCUCAAGUUCGUUCUUCGAAACGGAUUAGACGGAGCUUCGGUGUGGAUUUCUGUCAGCUCCUCGGGACAACGAGGUUAGGGUUACUUGCCAUGCAUACACGGAGGCAAGAUUUGUAGUCAGGUUCCCUAGAUUGAUUCAAGGGUUCAACGACGACGAUGACGACGACUGUGGCUCCUGGGCGUUGCUCCUAGAGCCACAUGCAUAAAGACUUUCUUGUCUGUCCCCGAUAAGGUUAUUUCAACUUUUGUAUCAGAGAGCCACUGAGGAGCGUCAACGGCAAGGUGAUCCAGGAAUAUCAAUGUAUCUUUUGUUAUUAUAUGUUUGAAGUGCUUUAUACUUCUGUAAACUUUUAUAAUACUCCAUAUCCUAAUGUUUUUUGGCAAAAAUAAUUAGUUGGUGGAGUUUGAAAGUAGAGUUGGCUUUGCCAACAACCAAUCCGACAACUUGUUGACAUAACGUGUCACGGUUUCUUGCGCACUAGACCACAAGUAGGAUAGGAUAGGAGCGUACCAACCGUAUAAUUUCCCGGGAAUCUUUGGUUUCUUAAACUUAAUAAUAAAAUCAAAAAAGAAAAGAAAAGAAAAGAAGACAGGACAAUAACCAAAGACUUGACUUCCCCCCGAGGUGCCUUCGGAGAAGAAACAAAACCACGGACCUGCAGCGGGUCAAGGUCUCCUCCUCCUCCUCCUCACACCACGGAGCUCCAUUGCGACCAACAGGUGCACACACGCUCUUCCUUAUCUUAGCUUAGAUUCCGUCUCUGCUGGGAGGCCUCUGGCCGCCCGGGCUGCGCAGGCGCGGCGGAGGAGGCCGCACUUUGUGCUCCUGGAUCUGGCAGCCGGACCUAGGUUGUCGCGUGGAAAUGGCAAAUCCAGUCCCCGUAUCAGGGUGACAUGCCAUUCUGAUCCGAUUUCUGCUCCUGAGCAUAAAUAAAUACUCAUCCCCUCUUCUUCCAUGCUGCAGAGUCAACCAACUAUCUCCUGAUGUGAUUGUCAAGUUUCAUCUUUGGAUGAGAGCUGUGUCCCCCGUGCUUGUUGAUGCCAAAUCGCUAACCCGUGGUCAAUCUUUCCUGUCAGUUGCGCACGCUGCUCGGCCCCCAACCUAUUCUGCUUGACUGACUGAACAGUUGUUUUGUCACCAGGUAAUGAUUUUGAUUGUGCUCAGUUUCCCUCAAAAAAGAUAAAAAAUUGAUUUUGACUGAAUAUGCACCAUGUCAGAUUAGUUCAUUCACAGCUUGCAAGUUUCCCAACACAACUAAAAUCGCAUGUUGAACAACCAACUACCUUCCCAGAAACCACAUACCAUGUAAUUAGCACUCUCCUUGUAUAAUUAUUAGUACCCUCUCCUUCGAAGAAGCACACUUCUAGCAUUUUUCUGACCUGUAUAACAACUGCAACUAUUUUGUUCCAUAAUAAGCAUUAGAGUUGCAUAGUUGAUACAACUAUAUUCAAGUCAAGAGUGUCAAGUCAUGCAAACGUGCGUGUAGUACUAUGUAUUAACAUGUCUUAAAUCUUUCCUUCCUUCAUGCUACGGUUUAUCAGGCCCAUGAGCAAAACUCUAUAUCUCUUUUCUUAUCACGGACCCUGUUAGUACUUUUGUCUGAUUAUCUCAGUGUCAGUCUGUCAGACGACAAAAAGUGUUGAUUAUACAUAUUUAUCUAGUACUGGUAGUACAUUGACACCAGGUAUCUUCUCCCAUGAUACAUUAAUAAAAAAAAUUCUUAAAUAUCAACAGAGCUACUCGUUCCAUCCAUGCACGAAACCAGUGGAGUAAUGUCAACAAACCUAUAAAUUUUCAGUUCGAAAACUAGUGGAAGUAAAACAACCAUUGGAGAAAGUUUCUCUCUGUUCAUACAAGCUAAGCUAACUCUCGACUUAAUUUUCUUGGAUGAAAUUGGUUAUUGCCCCAUUUAACAUAUUGAUCUAUAUUUAUUUUGUUCAGGACAAAUGGCGGAGGCGGUGCUCGUUGCUCUCGGAAAGAUUGGGAAUGUCUUAGCUGAUGAAGCUACCAAGGCUUUGCUGGCCAAGCUGUCAGAAAAAGUUAGUAAUCUGAUUGAUCUGGAUGACAAGAUUGAGGGAAUAGCGAAGCAAUUAAAUACAAUGAAGAACGUCAUACAGCAGAUAGGCACGCCGUACCUAGCCGACAAAGUCGUAAAGGGUUGGAUUGGGGAGGUGAGGAAGUUGGCCUACCAUGUUGAGGAUGUGAUGGACAAAUACUCAUAUCACUCUCUUCAUGUGGAAAAAGGGUUUCUGAAGAAGUGCCUCAAAGGAUCACAUUAUGUCCGGGUUUUUAGUCAAAUUGCCGAUGAGGUAGUCAAGAUAGAGAAGGAGAUAAAGCAAGUUAUCGGACUCAAGGAGCAAUGGCUGCAACCAUCCCAGCUUGUUCAUGACCCGUGCACUGAGAUGGAAAGACAACGGUCCCAAGAUAUCUUCCCUGAACUUGUGAAAGAUGAAGAUCUUAUUGGAAUUGAAGAUAACAGGAGAAUGAUGACUGAAUGGUUGUACUCGGAUGAGAUGGAGACUACGGUGAUAACGGUGUCGGGUAUGGGUGGGUUGGGAAAAACAACCCUCGUCACAAAUGUGUAUGAACGUGAAAAGAUCAACUUCCAAACAAGUGCGUGGAUGGUUGUGUCUCAGACCUACAGUUUGGAUGCUCUGUUGAGGAAGUUACUCGAGAAGGUUACCGAACAACCAUCAUCACCUAACAUUGACAGGAUGGAUGUGCAUGACUUGAAGGAAGAAAUAAAGCGAAAGCUUAAAGAUAGGAAAUGUUUAAUUGUAUUGGAUGAUGUCUGGAACAAGGAAGUGUACUCUCAAAUGCGAGAUGCAUUCCAGAAUUCUCAUGCAAGUCGCAUCAUCAUCACAACGCGGAACAAUCAUGUUGCUGCUGUUGCUCACUUGACACGCCGUAUCGUUCUCAAGCCUUUGGGGAAUGCUCACGCAUUCGAACUCUUCUGCAGGAGGGUCUUUUAUAUCAAGAAGGACCAUGAGUAUGAGUGUCCCAAUCAUCUCAUGAAAACUGCUAGGUCUAUAGUUGAUAGAUGUCAGGGUCUGCCACUAGCAAUUUUAUCAAUAGGUGGUGUUUUGUCUUCGAGGCCACAAACACAAUACUCUUGGGAGCAGAUAUACAAUCAACUCUCAACUGAGCUGUCGAAGAAUGAUCAUCUCCGGGCAGUUUUAAAUCUGAGCUACCAUGACCUAUCUGGAGACCUCAGAAACUGCCUUUUGUAUUGCAGCCUUUUCCCGGAAGACUACCCGAUGUCACGUGAGAGCCUUGUGAGGCUGUGGGUUGCAGAAGGCUUUGUGUGUAGCAAAGGAAAUAGCACCCCGGAGGAGGUGGCCGAGGGAAACCUGACGGAACUGAUAUACCGCAAUAUGCUUGAAGUCAAGGAGACAGAUGAACUGGGAAGGGUGAGCACCUGUACGAUGCAUGAUAUUGUGCGAGACCUGGCUCUUUGUGUUGCAAGCGAGGAGCAGUUUGUAUGUGCAAAUGAUUAUGCCACAUUGAUACAUAUGAAUAAGGAUGUUCGUCGUCUGUCAUCAUGUGGAUGGAAAGGCAAUACUGCACUGAAAAUUAAGCUUCCCCGUCUUCGAACUCUAGUGUCAGUAGGAGCAAUUUCAUCCAUGCCUGCCAUGCCGUUCUCAGUUUCGUCAGAAUCCAGCUACCUGACUGUCCUCGAGCUACAAGACUCUGAAAUCACUGAAGUGCCGGCAUGGAUAGGUACACUCUUCAAUUUACAUUACAUUGGCUUACGCCGCACCAAGGUGAGGUCACUCCCAGACUCUGUUGAGAAACUAUCGAACCUGCAAACUCUGGACAUCAAGCAAACUAACAUAGAGACCCUACCAAGAGGGAUUGCUAAGAUCAAGAAUCUACGGCACCUCUUAGCUGAUAGAUAUGCUGAUGAGAAGCAGACGGAGUUUCGAUACUUUGUCGGAAUUCAAGCACCGAAAGAACUGCCCAACAUUGAAGGGCUGCAGACUCUUGAGACCAUCCAAGCCAACAAAGACUUGGCUGAGCAGCUGGAGAGAAUGGUGCAAUUGCGAACUCUGUGGAUUGACAACAUAAGUUCUGCUGAAUGCGCAACUAUUUUUGCUGCCCUGUCAAAUAUGCCGCUUCUUUCCAGUCUGCUUCUUGCUGGAAGAGAUGAGAACGAGGCACUUUGUUUCGAGUCCCUCCAGCCAAUGUCCACACAUCUCCACAAGCUGAUCAUCAGAGGGAAAUGGGCCAAGGGAACGCUGGAGUGCCCGAUAUUCCGCAGCCACGGAGAAAAUCUCAAGUAUCUAGCUCUAAGCUGGUGUCACCUUUGGGAAGACGAGGAUCCACUGGGGAUGCUUGCACCACACUUGCCAAACCUCACAUAUCUGCGGCUCAACAACAUGCGCAGUGCAAACAUUUUGGUUCUUUCUGCAGAUUCCUUCCCUCACCUGAAGAGCCUUACACUGAAGCACAUGCAUAAUGUCAACGAGCUAAAGAUCAUCGAUGGCGCCCUUCCGAGCAUCGAAGGUUUGUAUGUCGUGUCAUUGUCGAAGCUGGAUAAGGUCCCUCAAGGCAUUGAAUCCCUUAGUUCCCUGAAGAAGCUCUGGCUGCUGGGCUUGCACGGGGGCUUCAAAGCUCAGUGGGACAAGAACGGAAUGCAGCAGAAGAUGGUGCAUGUUCAGGAGCUUCGUGUCUGAAUGUGGCACAGCGGUUCUUUCUGCAGUGGCUUUAAUCAUUCUGGUAUGUUAUAAUUAUUAAGACAUCAUUUGCGAGCCUUGUACUUCUAUAUCGUGAUACGAUUUCUGUUUUCAGGAGGCCCUGUAUUUCAGUUUGAUGCUGUAAUACUGAUUUCAGGAAACAGUUGUGUCGAACAUGUGAGAAAACAAUGUUGUGGAAUUUGUUUACCUUGUUGUUAGUAGAUACCGCCCGAUCUAUGUUUCUGCUGCAUCCUGGUUGUCGUUCUCGAAGAGGCACAUCCUCGACCGAUACUGAUUUCCGUGUCCAAGUGAAGCCCCUGCUCGAGUUGAGAGUCCGAGAGGCGGGAUUUUGUAGGAGCUCAACUCAAAAACUGCUGUGUUUUAUGUGAAGAAAAUGUUUUUUUUAGUAGCAGUUGUUUUAAUUCCGGUUUAGGCCGCUGCCUGGAGUUUGUACAGCUUUACUGAUCCUUCAUAGGUUGUACCCUGUACAUCAGUAGCACAAAUGCCAAGCCUGAUCACCGAGUCUGGAGUUAAGCUCUGGUCAGGGGAAAAAAAUGCCCUUUAAUUUCUUAGUCCUCUCAGGUUGACUGGGGAGCUGUUCUUUGACGUAAUGCCCAUGAAAAAGAGUUUCAUAAAUUUUAUUCGCCAUGGCAACACAAAAGAGCCGCUUCGGUGCAUCCUCUAAUCGAAUCAACGGUGGAGAGUAAAACAUACGCCUAGAUAUCUUAGGUACACUGCCGAUGUGCAUGUAGGAUUAUUAGACACUUGUAAGCACAAGAUUAUCUCACCACCCGUCCAUGUGCUUCAACAGUCGGAUUUGAUGGACACACGUGGUUUGGUCACUCGUUGCUGUCAAAAAAGUAAUGAGAGUUGGGGACCGUUUGAGCAGGCAGGAUGAGCGAUAAGCUAACCUGUCAUGGCCACAAAGGCACAUAUCAUCAGUACAGAUACAGACAGGCCGCUGCCAUGGCCUUCUUCUUCGUCUUGCUCCUCGCCGCCCAUGGCGCGGCCCCUGCUCUUGGCUUCACGCGGAGCGACUUCCCGCCGGACUUCGUCUUCGGCGCCGCCACCUCCGCGUACCAGGUAACCGUGCAUUUGUUUCCCUUGGUCAGCUGGUUUCUCUGUUAAUUUGCUCUGUUUUUUUAUGCAGUAUGAGGGCGCCGUGGCUGAGGACGGCAGGAGCCCAAGCAUCUGGGACACCUUCACUCACAUUGGUAAUCAACGAACUUGUCGGUUUUGUGCAGGUGUUGAUCAAAUCUGUUUCCAAAACAAAACAAAAUCUGCUUGCCUCUGAAUGACAGGGAAAAUGGCGGACAAAAGCACAGGGGACGUCGCUUCUGACGGGUACCACAAGUACAAGGUAAUCACGGUGAAAGUUUACAUGGCCGACAUGGAUGAUAACCUGAACAUUCUGUGGAAGGGAAAAAAAAUGUCCGAUUGUUGUUUGUUUCAGAUUAUACUAAUCCUGGGCAGUAUCAUCCGACAUUUCAGGAUGAUGUCAAGCUCAUGGCUGACACUAACCUGGAGGCUUACAGAUUCUCCAUCUCCUGGCCAAGGCUUAUUCCAAGUAUAAAAGCUUUCCACAAUAUCUCUACUGCUGUAUAAAAUGAAUUUGCACGGACAAUAAUAACUGAUCUUUGGCUUGCAGAUGGGAGGGGAGCUGUCAAUCCAAAGGGGUUAGAGUACUACAACAACCUUAUAAAUGAGCUGGUGAAACAUGGUAAGCUUAUUUAGAGUAAAAUAGCUUAUAAAUUCGAAUAUACUGACAAACUUUUUC